UUUUUUUUAUGCUAUUCUUCAUCUUUUGGACUGUUUUGCUUUCUUCAUUACUUUCCACUCCAUUAUUGAUGGCAUUGAGUCCUUACUGAAGCAAAGAAAGCUGCUGCUCCAUUCCUAUUCUUCAUCUUCCCCUCAAUUCCUUCACCUCCUCUGCAGAGAAACAGACAUGGCCCUAGAGAUGUUUGCAGGAGCUUUUCUCUCCGCUUCUCUCCAAGUUCUUUUCGACAGGUUGGCUUCUUCCGAGGUCUGGAGCUUCAUCGGGGGACAGAAUGUCAGUGAAGAACUCCUUCUGGAGUUGGGGAUGAAAUUGCUGGUUGUGGAUAAAGUGCUCGACCAUGCUGAGGUGAAGCAAUUUACAGAUGAACGAGUCAAAAGGUGGCUGGUGCGCGUUAAGAAUGAUGUGUAUGAUGCGGAAGACCUACUGGACGAGAUUACUACGGAAGCUUUGCGACGCAAGAUGGAAGCUGCUGACUCCCAGACUGGCCCAACUCACGUAUUGAACAGCUUUUCCACAUGGUUUAAGGCCCCACUUGCUGAUCAUCAAAGCAUGGAGUCUAAGGUAAAGAAGAUCAUCGGCAAACUGGAAGUUCUUGCACAAGCAAUAGAUGUGCUUGCUUUGAAUGGUGAUGGUAAGAAAUUGCCACAAAGAUUACCCUCGACUUCUCUGGUGGAUGAAUUUUCUGUGUACGGCAGGGAUGAAAUUAAAGAGGACAUGAUUAAAAGGUUGUUGUCUGAUAAUACAAGUCGCAACAAGAUUGAUGUGAUCUCCAUAGUCGGCAUGGGCGGGGCCGGCAAGACCACACUGGCUCAGCUUUUGUAUAAUGAUGGGAGAGUGAAAGGACACUUUCACCUGAAAGCAUGGGUUUGUGUUUCAGAGGAGUUUUGUCUUCUCAAGGUGACAAAAUCAAUUCUCGAGGGAAUCAGAUCUGCGACCUCUUCUGAUAUGCAAAGCGAGAACCUAGAUUUGCUUCAGCAAAAACUGAAAGAGAGCCUUGGUGACAACAGAUUUCUACUCGUCCUGGAUGAUGUUUGGGAGAAAUGUCCUAGUGAAGGGGAAGGGUUACGAAUUCCGCUCCUAGCUGCUUGGGAAGGGUUACGAAUUCCACUCCUAGCUGCUGAGGAAGGAAGCAAGGUUGUUGUGACCACUCGCAAUCGAAACGUUGCAAAAAUCAUGCGUGCAGAUCAUACUCAUCCUCUGGAAGGGUUGUCCCAGGCACAUUGUUGGUCCUUAUUUCAAAAACUUGCAUUUGAAGAUGGAGACUCCAGCCCAUAUUCUCAGCUUGAGUCAAUAGGCAAAAAGAUUGUGGCUAAAUGCCAAGGAUUGCCUUUAGCGGUCAAAGCACUUGGGAGUCUCUUGUAUUCUAAAACUGACCGAAGGGAAUGGGAACAAAUUUUGGAGAGUGAAAUAUGGGGCUUACAACAUCAUCAAAUCCUUUCCUUGGUUGAUAUUGAGUUAUCGAGAUCUCCCAUUGCAUCUGAAACGAUGUUUUGCCUAUUGCUCCAUUUUCCCCAAGGGCCAUGAAUUCGACAGGGAGAAACUGAGUUUACUAUGGAUGGCAGAAGGACUUCUACAAUUUUCAAAAAGUAAUGAAAGAAUGGAAAAGGUAGGGGAGCAUUAUUUUGAUGAACUUCUUUCAAAGUCAUUUUUUCAAAAAUCUGUUUCCGAAAAAUCAUGCUUUGUCAUGCAUGAUCUCAUACAUGACUUGGCUCAAUACAUAUCUAGAGAAUUUUGUAUUCGAAUUGAAGAUGAUAAGGUGCAAGAAAUCUCUGAGAACACUCGUCACUCUUUGAUCUUUAAGAGUAACUUUCAUGGAAUGGUUGGGUUUAAGGGGUUUGAGGCCCUUGAGAAAAUAAAAUGUCUUCGAACAUACUUUGAGUUAAGGAGAAUGGAAUGGAAUAUUUAUAAACUAAGUAAAAGGGUUGAUUUACUCAUUAUAUUUUCCAAAUGGAGGUACUUACGAGUGUUGUCAUUGUAUAGUUAUAUUCUUAAUGAGUUGCCCGAUUUAAUAAGCGAAUUAAAAUAUUUGCGUUAUUUGGAUAUCUCAUAUACAAAGAUUAAAAAAUUGUCUGAUUCAGUGUGUUAUUUGUACCAUUUACAAACGAUGAUAUUACCAGGACAUGACUAUUUCAUCGAAUUGCCUUCAAGGAUGGAUAAAUUGAUUAAUUCGUGUUAUCUUGAUAUAAGUGGAUGGAGAGAAAUGCCAAGUCACAUUAGUCGAUUAAAAAAUUUAUGAAAGUUGAGUAAUUUUAUUGUGGGCCAAAAAGGUGGAUUAAGAAUUGGUGAAUUAGGAGAGCUUUAAGAUAUUGGGGGAAGACUUGAAAUUUCAGAAAUGCAGAAUGUGGUGUGUGCUAGGGAUGCAUUGGGAGCGAACAUGAAGGAUAAGAGGCACCUUGAUGAACUAGCCUUGAAAUGGAGCGUCGUAGCUACUAAUGAUGUUAUACAAAGUGGCGUAUUCAACAACUUGCAGCCUCAUCCAAAUCUGAAGCAGCUUACCAUCGAAAGCUAUCCCGGUAUAACAUUUCCAGACUGGAUAGGAGAUCCUUUAUUCUCCAAUCUUGUGUCUGUAUAUCUUCAUUGGUGCGGCAAUUUCUCAUCAUUGCCAAUGUUUGGGCAGCUACCAUCUCUUAAACAUCUUUCUAUUUUAGGAAUGAUAGGAGUAGAGAAGGUGGGAAGUGAGUUUUAUGGGGAUGCUUCUUCCGCCAUUACAAGUAAGCCCUCAUUCCCAUUCCUACAAACUCUAAGAUUUGAGUGUAUGGACAACUGGGAGAAAUGGUUAUGUUGUGGAUGCGAAUUCCGUCGUCUCCAGGAGCUUUAUUUAAUCCGCUGUCCCAAACUCACAGGGAAAUUACCAGAAGAGCUUUCUUCAUUGAAGAAACUUGAAAUUGAUAGAUGUGAGCGGCUGCUUGUGGCUUCACUCCAAGUUCCUGCCAUCCGUGAAUUGAAGAUGUUGGAUUUUGGUGAAUUGCAGUUGAAAAGGCCAGCCUCCGGCUUCACUGCUCUUCAAACUUCACAUAUUGAAAUUUCAAAUGUGUCUCAGUGGAAGCAACUACCAUUGGAACCGCACAAGCUCAUGAUUACAGACCCUGAUGCUAUAGAGUCUCUACUAGAGGAGGGAAUCCUACAAACCCACACUUCUCCUAUGCAAGAUUUGGAAAUCUGGAGUUGUUGUUUUUCCAGAUCCUUGCACAAAGUUUGUUUACCCACUACAUUGAAAUCACUAAAAAUCUGUGACUCUGACAACCUAGGGUUUCUCCUACCUAAGUUGUUCAGAUGCCAUCACCCAUCUCUUGAAGAUCUGCAUAUCGUCAGUGGUCAAAACGAUUUAUCUCUCUCAUCAUCCUUCUCAUUAUCAUUUUCAUUAGCCAUCUUUCCCAGGUUGAUUCAUUUUGGUAUCGAUGCUCUUAACGGUCUUGAAUCCCUCUGCAUCUCGAUUUCAGAAGAGGAACCCACUUCUCUUCGUUCGUUGGAAAUCUUCAGGUGCGAUGAUCUUGAAUUUAUUGAAUUCCCCGCUCUCGACUCGGCAUGCUAUCGGAUCGUGGAAUGCUCGAAGCUCAAGUGGCUGGGACACACACUCUCAUCCUUGCAGAGAUUGAGCUUAGAAGAUUGUCCACAAUUGUUGUUUCACAAAGAUGGUUUGCCCUCCAACCUACGUCAACUUGAAAUUUGUGAAUGCAACCAACUCUCGCCCCAGGUGGACUGGGGUUUGCAGAGACUGGCCUCUCUUACAGAAUUCAAAAUCGGAGGUGGAUGCCAGGACGUGGAGUCAUUUCCCGAGGAGCUCCUGCUGCCCUCCACAAUAACUACUCUUGAAAUUGAACAUUUUCCAAGUCUCAAGUCUCUGGACAGUAGAGGGCUUCAACAGCUUACCUCGCUCAGAAAAUUAUCCAUCCGUCACUGUCCUCAGCUCCAAUUUAUUCCACAGGAGGGUUUUCAACAUUUUCCUUUUCUUUUGGAAUUGGAGAUGGAAGACUGCCCUAAGCUCCAAUCUUUGAAAGAAGCUGGUCUUCCAAGCCUUGCCUCUCUUAAGCAACUAUACAUCAGGGGAUUACCUGAGCUCCAAUCCUUGAUAGAUGUGGGUCUUCAACACCUCACCUCUCUUGAAAAAUUAUUCAUCUCCGACUGUCCUAAGCUUCAAUCCUUGACAAGAGAGAGACUUCCAGAUUCCCUCUCUUUUCUGGACAUCCAGGAUUGUCCUUUGUUGGAACAACGGUGCCAAUUUGAAGAAGGGCAAGAGUGGGAUUAUAUAGCUCACAUUCCACAAAUAUUCAUCUGUGAUGAGGUAUUGUAACAAAGGUUUAGGCAGGUACUUGUUCUACACUAAAAAUUAUUUUCUUCAGAAAAUCUAUGUUCCAAUUCAUUAACUGGCCAAACUUAUGUUUCAAAAUUUCAAAUGAUCUCAAGAAUUGUGCAUCUACAUAUAUAAUCCAUUUGCUAGUCAUGUUGUUGGGGAUUUGAUUUAACCCUUACAAUUGCCAUAUUCUAAUGGUGCACAUUUGUUCAUUUUAAGAUUCUUUGAAACCAGAGACCUGGAACAAUGAUUUGAAGAGGAGCAGGGGAAGAUUGAUCCCAGGUAGUUUACAUUUCUUGCAUACAACCAAUUCUCAUAUAUCCAAAAAUUGUUCAUCUUUCAUGUCGACGUUUCUCACAUUCUCUGCUUGUAAAGGAACAGAGGAAACCAGGCACAUAUUCUAGUUAACUGCUUGUAAGUAAGUAAUUUUACUUGCUUUGGUUUUUCCUUGCUGCUAUUCUCUCUUCCAGUGUUAGAAAGUGGAGAUUUAAGUCUGCAAGAUUUUUUAUUCCAGUGUUGCAAAACAUAUGUUUGGUAUCAAAAUUACUUAAAUUCUUUCUCUUUUUGCGUUCAGAGUCUCAUAAUCAACUCAACUCUUUUGAAGAAUAUUGGUGGAGAUGGAUGGGUUUGUGCCGCAAGCUUUAUUUGUUUGAUUUAAGAAUUUUUCCAACGAAGAUAAGAAGAGUAAAGAAAAAUUGAUCCUAGGUAAUUCAUAUUUUAACCAGCCAAAAAUCAUAUUUCCAUGACUUCUUCAAUUUACCUUUCAAAGUGCAAAGAUGACUCUUAACCAUCUGUGAAAUAUUUUAAUUACUUUGAUCCUUUUGAGGACCUACCAUGGAUUUGUGCUUGUUGAUCUCUUUCCCAUGCUACAAAAUUGGGGAUUUAACUUUUGAUAUAUUUAUCACAGGGUGUCCUAAUCUUGUGUAUAUUCUUGGAGACUAGGGUGCACAACAUGCUCUGUUUGUUUGAUUUAAAAGUUUUUCCUUAAGCUAGUUGUAACAGGAAUAUGAAAAGGAGCAAGGGAAGAUUAACCACAGGUAGGCAACAUUUUGAACAAUUUGAGACCAGAAUCUAAUGUGGUUUUGCGAAUAUUUGUUUGCAUUUUACUUCCAGAAUGUAAAAUUGUGUGUCUAUUUCUCUUACAGAGGCACAGAGGAAAUCAAUAAGAUCUCAAAUUGCAAGAAUUUCAGGUCACUGAUGCAUGUUUUGGUACCUUACUGAGUAUCACAAACUAUUCAUGGCUGAUGUCCCACAUGUAGUAAGAGACGAUCUGGCUUUCUAAUGACGAGGAUUGCACACCAAUUUACAGUCUUCUUUUCUCCAAAUAGCAUUUGAUGUAUGAGUUAGAUUUAUUGUAACUAGUGAAACACAUGAUUGAAAAUUUGUAAUUACUGUGGUAAUUUUUAUUUUUGUUUUUUAAUUAUUUCAGGUUGGUAUAUUGUUUGAGCAGCUCUACAGAUUUGGUUUCUUGAUUAGCAUGAUUGGGUUUGUUUUCCCACGGGCUAAUGCAUUGGGAACCACUUUUGAUUAUCAGUUUCUAAGGGGCUUUGUGUUUCAGGUAUGCAACAACAAAGACACAUACCACCUUCUGCCUCCCAAUACCCUUCACAAGAUUGGUGCAAAACAUGCUCUGUUUCUUUGGUUUAAGAUUUAUUCCGAGGGUAGGAGUCUGGAACAAAAAUAGAAGAAUGGGGGGAGAUUGACUUAGGGUAGCUACUGCUUUAAGCAUACACAACAAGCAAGACAAAUAGUUUUGAUGAAUGUCAUUCUCUUUUACAUUCUGACUAGCCUUUGAUCCAAGAACCCCUUCAGAUCUUGAUUCUCCGUUCAAGGGACUGCAAAACCUUAGUUCUCUUCAAGAAUUGAAUGUCAUUUUCUCAUACUUUUGAUGGAGAAGGAACUUUCCUUGUUUGUUGAUUUUAAGACUUUGAAACUUUGAAACUCCAAACCAGGAACAAAUAUAUGAUCUUAUGAAAUAUGUUUUUUUGCAGAUACCUUUUACAUUCACCACCUUUAUAAAUCCUACUUAUUCAAAGGUAUUUCCUUUUCUUCCCUGCUCAUAUUAUGGAUAUUAUUGCUUUGCUUCCUAUCAACUGAUCCAUUAGUUUUGUCAAGAAAAACAACACCUGUAAUGCUGCAGCUAUCUUCAUGGCUGGUCUUGCUCCUAAAGCUUAAUCUUUUGUAUGUUCAAAGUAAGGAUUUAAUUAUUAUGGCACUUCUUUGAAGUGGAAGGUGGAGUUAGGAAGAUGUAUCUGUUGUAGUGGCUGUGACAUAAUUGCUACUAAAAUUAAGAGAUAUCAUUGUUGAUGAUUCUCUCCUCCAGUCCUCCUUGCUGGGAUCUGCCAAAAUUGACCAGUGGGUGUUCCACUACCAUGCCUUUCCGUGCUAAAUUAUUGAAACAGAAUUGGUCAAAUUUUACAGAGGUGACUCUGUUUUGAUUUGGUAGGCUGCACUUAUUAGGAGUCUCCAUGGCAAAAGGCCCUUGAGAUUUUUUUUUGUUCUGCACCAAGUCAACCAGUUUCAAAAGACAAGCCAGUUUAAGUAUAACAUCUUUGUGGUGUACCUUCUGAACUUUUUUCUGUCCCAAUUUUGAUGCCAUUUUCUUCUUGGGUUGGUCUUUCUUGGGUAUCAACAGUGACUGGGAAUUUUUGACGAAAUGGAGAUUUCUGACUGUCAGCUUCUGUUCUUCUCUGCAAGAACACUUCCAAUUCAGGAAAGGGAGAGACGGCCAUUAUAUAGCUCACAUUCGACACAAGGAGAUAGGCCUAGUGCUGCUCUAAUGAAGGUGGUGGUACAUCGAUAUAUAACCAGGUAUUUGUUCUAUGCUCAAAAUAAAUUUCUUCCAAAAAUAUUUGUUUCACUUAAAGAUUUUUCUCUUAACCCAACAAACUUUGUCCAAGAUAAUUCAUAUUUCAAUACAGCCAGCUUUCGUAUCUCUGUUUUUAUUUAGCAGAUUGCACUCGCUGGGAGUUCCUGUAGCAAAAGGUUGUGGUAACGCUUUAUUCUACUACCUAAAAAAGUGGACCACUUACCAAAGGCAGGGGGAUAAAAUUCUAACAUCUUUGUUCUAUAGUUGCCACUCAUUUCUUUCCAAAUUUUGAUGUCAUUUUGUUAUUGUUUUCGUUCUGGUGUUUGUUAGGUCUUGAUUGUUGGGGGAGUAUGUGAAGAUGUUCUAUUGUGUUGGGGUUACGGUCUUAGAAUUGAGAACCUUCUUGUGCUUCUAUCGGUGACCAUGGGCAUUGGUUCUCAUUGUUUGUAUGGACAAGAGUCAAUUGUAUAUCUGUAGAGAAAUAAUGUCUAAAGUUUUAAUGAAGGUUUACUCCAUGAGACUUGCAAGAAGAAUAUUGUAAUUAAAUUGAUCAACCUAUGAGACUUUUGGUAGUUCUGUUUGCUAUUUUGAUGUCGGUAUCAUCUUGAAGUGGUUCAGUGCAGUUUCCUCAUUAAACUUUAUGAUUUUAUAUGGAAAAGAUGAUUUUGAGCUUAUUCAUUGUCUUCAUGCAUUGUUCUUGAUUGUGACCAGAAAUUUAAUAUAUGUCUACUGCUGUGGAGAUGAUUAUUUAGAUCACUCAUGGAUCCCAUUCUCAACAGGAUUAUCUUCCUCAUCAAUUCUCUUCAUGCAUAAAAAAAUUUACUCCUAUUUUAUAUCAUCAAACUUCUUCAAGCCUAUUCUUUCAGUUUUUCUAAUUAUAAAGCAUUAUAAAAUUAGGUUGUGUACCAUCAAAAGCCCUUUUGAUUUACCAUUUUAGGGUUUUGAUUCUAUUGGAUUUGUUGUCAGCCCUAGCAAGUUCCUGUUUUAAAAUUUAAUCUGUAAUGUUAAGCCCUUUAAAAAGUGACAUUAUAAGUAUCAUUUUCCAUGGAAUAAUUCCUUAGAAAGUUCAUGGCAGAAUUUGAGUCCCAAUUUUCUUCAUGACAAAUAUGAGAACUCUGAAAGCCAUCUCUUCCCUAAACCAUUCCUGAUAAUCAAUUUUGAGAGUCAUAAAACUGUUUCAUCGAUGACAGCAGCUAAAUAUCAGGAAUUGCAGAGCCUCAACUCUCUUGAAGAAUUGUGUAUGUACAAAUACCAUUGCUCAUACUGUUAUUGGAACUAAGAGAGCAAAGCAUGCCCUAUUUUUGUUGGAUUUAAGAGUUUUAAUUUUCCUAAGAUAGAUACUUGGAAGCUGGAACAAGGAUAUGAAAGAGAUCAAGAAGAGAUUGAGCACAGGUUGGCCAAAAUGUUAAGCAUACAUAUUCAUUCAAAAACAUCCUUUGAGCAAUUUGAGAAUACCCACCAAUUCUCAAUUUUCUAUGACUUGUUUCCACUUCCAUAACAUCAAUGUCUGAACUUAUCUAUCUUACAGAGGCACAGAGAAAAUCAAUGAGAUCUGUAAUUGCAGAAUCACAGUUCAAUGAUACAUGUUGAGGCCUCGCGUCCCUGGUGAUCCACGUAGUUGCCAAAUGGGUGGACGCACGAUCUCAACCAAUAUAAGUUCUUGAUUCAGUCGGCCUACCUGCAAAAGGCAUCCGAACAGGGUGUCCGGACGCACCCUCCGAUGGUUUUGUCAACCAUGGUUAGAGAGAGAUAAAUCAGUUGGCCUUUUACUAGGUAUCAAAAGCUUACCUUCCUCUUUGUGUGAAGGCUUAUAUAUAUUGUUCCAGAAGCACUGUUUCCCUCUUUAAUGGUAGGGAGAUAUUUUGUGUUGUCAUGAUGACAUUAGGUGGCGGCAGGGCUAUCAUCACCCUACGGGCGGCUGAUAGAGAUCGUGGUAAGUGAUGCAGCUAUCAGAGAUCGUGGUAGGCGAUCAUGUGAAGUGAUCGUGAGAAGUGACUUGUUGUCACUUCAUCUUGUCCUUUCACUCUACAGGUGGCAGAACGUGGGCUAUGACAGGCUGUUGUGAUAACGUGUAAGACUUGCUUAUUUCAGUCAAUGAUCCGGACAAUCAUAUCCGGAUGGCCUAUGUUGGUCAUCCAGAUGUAUUGCGGAAGUCGUCCGGAUGUUAUGCUUAUUAGUGUCGUGUGCCUCUCCUUGAGGUAGUCCGGAUAGGAGAAGCGCGCCACGUGUACUCUUAGGGAAAUCCGAAUGAGGGUGAUCCGGAUGAUAAUGCGUGCCACAUGUCACCAUGAGGUGUGUGGCACGUGUUCUUAGGAGGAGGGGCCCCUACAAUGCCCCCCUUUUUAACUUGCCUAUUUUGCCCGAGCAAAAAAUGGGCGGGUUAAAAAAAUAAUUGGUUUUUUGAAACUGAAGUCGUCCUUUUUGUUUGUUUGGGCCACGUGGCGAGCGGGGGUGAGGAAGCCAAAAAAGCAUUUAUGAUGGGCCGCCGACUCUGGGUAUUCCCAAGCAGCAUGUCGUUUCAAUGAUGGCGCAACUGUGCGUUUGGUUUUCCGAGGGGCUGUCUCCCUAUAAAUAGCAUACUGUGUCUUCUGUUACAUUUUUCCUACUGCGUUUUUUUUCUGUCAGUGCUGCUUCUUCUUCCUUCUGUGCUUUCCUUUGUUUUUCUGAGUGAAGCCCUAGAAUUUUUCUGCCGGUGAUUUUUGCGUUCUUGCCGGUGACUGUACUGCGGAUUUCAACCCUACUCCUCCAGACUUACACUUGGUACGUGCAUUUGUUCUUGUCUUUUCCUUUGCUGCGUUUGGCUUUGUUGGUUUUGUUUCUGAUUUGUUUGGGUAAGUUGCUUGCGACUGUGUGUGUGAAUGUUGGUAUUUUUUGGUUUCUAGGGUUUUUUGAGGGUGUUUUUUACUGCUGGUACCUCUUUCGUGCAGCUUUACGAAACGAGAAGAUGUCUGCGAACCAGGAAGUGACUUCACCUAGCCCAUGCGGUGCUGCUCAUGCCAAAAAAUCUGUUGACAAAUUGAGCGUGAAGGAGUUCCAUGAGCGAUUUUGUAUUCCCAACGGUGUUUCUAUUGAAUUGACCGACGAGGAGGCUGUAUCGACUGAAAACAGUGAAGACCACGCUAUAUUUUUCAGCAAGGAGCAAUUCAACGCUGGGCUCCGGUUCCCCCUUCCGUCGCUGUUCAAGGAAUUCCUGCAUUUCACCCAGAUUCCCCCGGUGUAUAUUCAUCCGAAUAUGGUCCGAGUGUUGAUGGGAUGUAGCAUCCUGAAUAUGUUGUUUAACUUGGACCUCACUCUACUGGAUGUGUUGUUCAUCUACUCGAUCAAGAAGCUAAAGACUGAUAUCUUCAGCUUUGUUGCAUGCCUGCCGUCCAUGUAGUUGGUGACUAGUCUGCCGGACUCCACCAAGGGGGGUGCCAAGGGUCAUGUACUGGUCAAGGACGUAUGGGCAGGUUUGGCGGUUCAUCCGAACAGACCAUUCACCCCCAAUCAGUCGUUGAAAGUCCCAGGUAUUGAGAUGGUUGUGUUAAAGUAAGAAUUCACAUUGUAACUAUGUGAAUGGACUUUUUUGACAUCUAAGCUAGCUACUUUUGUUCUCUCUCCUUUUUCCUUUUUGAAUUCUCUCUUCUUUUAUGAAAAGUCCUCAAGUUGAAAAAGAGUCUUGUUACUCCUAUCUUUCUACAUUGUUAUUAUUUUCCAUUAAAAUGAACCACCAAAUAAAGUUAUAAUUUCAAAUCCACCUACGAUCCGUUUAUUUUAUUUUAUAAAUAAAUUUAAGUAUAAAAGACAAAACUAUUAUAAUGUAUGAAUAAAUAAAAGUGAUUGAUUUAGUCAUAUGACCAAUAUCAAAUAUUUGCUUUUGAUAUCAUUGUAAAAUCUUAUCAUUCAUUAACCAUCAAUGUAAAUAAUAGUUUUUCUUCAUCCCUUAAUCACUUUCCCUCAAAAUUUGUAGGACUUUUUUACAUCUAACACUUUUAUAUAUAUAUAUAUAUAUAUAUAUAUAUAUAUAUAUAUAUAUAUAUAUAUUUCCUUUUUUGAAUUCUUUCACUUCUUUUAUGAAAAGUCGAUGUACCUAGAAUAUUAGGUUGAAAAAUGAGUUAUGACAUGCCUAUCUUUCCUCAUUGUUCUAAUUUUUCAUAGAAAUGAUCCAACAAUUAAGUUGAAAUUUCAUUGGAAGAUGAUGGAUGGUGGCCAAUUGGUCAUGGCCAUGGAGUUGGUAUUAGUGGUCCUCUUAUGAUGUUCUCUAGGUAAAGUCAAAUAAUCUCAUUAUUCAAGACAACGAGCUUUGUCUUCUAUGGAAAAAAGAUAAUUAGGAGAGUUUGUCUUAGAACUAUAUAUCUAAGUAAAACAAGUCGCUAACAUGAUAUGGACAAAACUCCAAAUUUCAUCUAAGUAAUUCAUAUCCACAUAUAAUUCGAGGAACAAUUUAAUCUCCACCUCUUAGUAAAACUUUUUUAAAAUAAAAAUUAAUUUGUAAUCAUGUUAAGAACUCUAGUGGAUCUAAGUAAGAGUAUUUCUAAAAGUAGUGACACCAUCUAGAGGAGAAGAGUCUACUAAGUUUUUGGUUGCACCUAUCUCAAUUCAAUUCAAAAUGUUGUGGAUUAUUGAAAAUGAGUUUAUAAAAGAAAAUGAAAAUCUACUCAAAAAAUUUGAAUACUAAGAGUCUAAAUUCCAAGAAAUUUAUCUAAUGUGAAAUAAUUUUACUUUUGGAUGACAACCUAUGUUCUCUUUUUACUUUUUUUUUUUUGGCUUGUCAAACUAAAUUCUUAUUUUUUUGGCAAAUAGAAUGAGAUGGUUGGGUCUAUCAUAAUGUCAGGUCAAUCAUUCCAAUAAUGGAAUCAAUUUCUUAUGUUUAAGCACUCUAGAUUUACCACAGUGCAUGUCCAGUUAAUUAUUCAAGUAAGUGGAUCCAAACUUCUCUUUUUAAUAUCAUUCAUUACAAGCCACAAGAUUUAUAUGUUGAGCUUAUCUUAAUGUUAAAUUAGAUGCUGGUUCAAGCCAUGGAAUUUGAACUUCUCUUCACAACAAUCUUACUUAAUUUCGUUAAUUUUGAAGAAAUUGCUUUUUAAAUGGAAAAGGAUUGCCAUAAAAUUCUUUAUUGUGAUGAUUAAUUUAUCAUUUACAUCUAUACUUACCUAAUCUCAAUCCAUUUAAUUAUUUCAUUUAAUUUGAAAUUGGCUAUGUAAGUCAUGGUAAACUUUCGAAAUGCAAGUUUUUCAUGGAUGGAAGCAUAUAAAAAAAUUGAAUAUUAUUGUAUAGGAUGAUAUACAUUAUUAAUAUUAUAAAAAUAUCAAAUCAAAUUCGGUUAUACUUGAAUUGUUUGAACCUUGGUUCAACUCCAACUCAAAUUUAGUUCAGGUGGAAAAACUUAACCCUUGCCUAAUUAAGUGUUGAAAAUGAUUGUGCAAAUCCACCGAAAUAUUGGGUGGGAUCAAGUAUCCCAUUCAAAUUGCACCCUAAUGCUAAGGACCGUAUUUCCCUUUCUUUCUUUCUAUAUUCUUGAGGGGACUCUUUUACAUCUAGUUACUCUUUGACAUCUAGCUACUUUUUUUUUCACUUUUGUGAAAAGCUAAUGUCCAUGGACCCUUAGGUUGAAAAAUGAGUUAUAUAUAACUUGCCUAUCUUUCCACAUUGUUGUUUUCUCAAUAGAAUUCAAAUCGACAUCCUUUUACAACAGAAUGAUGGGGAGUGAUCCUUUGGAUGUGAUGAUACAAAUUUGAUUUGGUUGUACAUUAUUUGGGAGAAACAAAGUCAUGUAAAUUUAUUCAUAUGUUAUAUGGGUGUAUUUGGGCAAAGUACAUUGAUAAGUUCUCAGUUGACAUUUAUUUAACACUGACUGUUGUCGCCUCGCGUAUCCGGUGAUCCACGUUGCUGCUAGAGGGAUGGACACGUGAUUCUCAACACACAAGGGGUUCUUGAUUCAGCGAUUGCACCUGCAAAAGGCAUCCAGACAGGGUGUCCGGACGCACCCUCCGAUGGUUUUGUUAGCCAUGGUGAAAGAGAGAUAUAUAAAUCAGUUGGCCUUUUACUAGGUAUCAAGAGGUUACCAGGGGAUCAGCCUUUUCUUCUUCGUGUGAAGUCAUAUAUAUACAGCUUCAGGGGUACUGCUCCUUUCAUUAAUGGUGAGAAGAUAUUUUAUGUUGUGAUGAUGAUAAUAGGUGUCAGUAGGAGCACUAUCAUCCUACGAACGGUUGUCAGAGACCAUGGUAGGUGAUGCGGCUGUCAGAGAUCGUGGGAAGCGAUUAUGUAGAAUGAUCGUGGGAAGUGACUUGCUGUCACUUCCUCUUGUCUUCUCAUUCUGCAGGUGAUGGGAUGUGGGCCAUGGCUGCUUGUUGUGAUUGCGUGUAAGACUCGCUUUACUUUAAUUGACCAUCCAGACGAUUUAUAUCCGGAUGGAUCAUGCUGAUUAUCCGGAUGUGUUGUGGAGACUAUCCGGGUGUCUACGCUCUGCCAGCGUCGUUUGCUCUUCCUUGGAUAGGAGAAGCUGAAACGUCGUUUGUCUUUCCUUGAGGGGUUCCGGAUAGGAUAGCCGCACCAUGCAUAUCUUUAGGGGAAUCCGGAUGAUGAUGGUCCGGCUGAUAACACGUGCCACGCGUCACCAUGAGCUGCGUGCCACGUGUUUCCCAAGGGAAGGGGUCCCUACAUUGCCCCCCUUUUUAACUUGCCUAUUUUGCCCAAAAAAUGGGCGGGUUAAAAAUAACUGGGUUUUUGAAAAUUGAAAAAGUCCAUUCGUCUAACUUGGCCACGUGGCGAGUGGGGGUGCGGAAGCCAAAAAAGGCAUUUAUGGCGAGCCGCCGACCCUGUGUAUCCCCAGGCAAUAUGUCGUUUCAAUGAUAACAUGGUUGUUGGUUUGCCUUUCCGAGAGGCUGUCCUGCUAUAAAUAGGGUACUGUACCUCUUUUUGCAAUUUUUCCUACUGCAUUCUCUUGAGAGCCUUUCUUCUUACUGCUUUUUCCUGCGUCCUUUGCUUCUCUGAGACAAACUUCGAAAGCUCUUUUGUACCGGUGCUUUUGUAUCGCGACUUUGUUUGUUUGCUGCUGGUGAUUUUGUAUCAAGGCAGUACCCGUUCUUCUUCUUCGGUGCUUUAUUUGGUACGUACCUCUUUGCUACUGCCAUUCCUUUGGUUGCAUUUGCUGGCUCUUUAAAUUUGUUUUCUGGCUUGCUUGGGCGUUGUUUUGGACGAGUCGUUUGCAAUUGUUGUUGAAUGUUGGUACUUUGUUGUUGUUUGGAGGGGUUUUUGAGGGGUUUUUCUGACUGUUUUGGGUUAGGGUUUGUGUAUUUUCUGACUGCUUGGUUUGAUUCGCUGUAUUGCUUUUGUAUGUAGAUUUUGAUUUAGCUUUGUGGUAAAAAAUGGCUCCAAAAAAGGCUGUUUCAUCUGUCCAGGUUAGCGAAGCUAGCGAAAAGGCGAUAGACAAAUUAAAUGCGAAGGAGUUCCGGGAGCGAUUCCGCAUCCCCCAUGACGUAUUGAUAGACUUGGUGAACGAGGAGGCGGCUAUGCCUACUGAGAAAGGUGGAAAAAACGUUAUCCUCUUCACAAAGGAACAAUUCAACGCGGGGCUCUGGUUCCCUCUGCCGGCGUUGUUCAAGGAAUUCCUCCACUUCUCUCAGAUUCCACCCAUCUUCAUUCAUCCCAACCUUGUCCGGGUGCUGAUGGGAUGCAACAUCAUCAACAUGCUGUACAGCCUCGACCUUACGCUACUGGAAUUGUUCUUUGUCUAUUCCCUGAAGAAAGCAAAGAAUGAUAUCUUCAGUGUGUCUGCUCACCUGCCCUCCCUUCAAAUGGUGACAGAACUGCCAGAUUCGACAAAGGGAGGGGCGAAGGGGCUGGUGGCAGUCUGGGGUGGAUGGGCGGGGCUAUCGCAGCAUCCGUCGAGGCCUUUUUCUCCGAAUUAUACCUUAAAAAUUCCGGGUAAUCUUGUUUUGUCAUUUUUUGUCCGGAUUUUGCUUUGCUGAUUUUUUCUGAUUUUUCCGGACGGAAUUCUCACCUUUUGUUGCUGACAAUGCAAGUUUGGAAUUGAGGGGCCACCUUGUGGAUUGGGUGGAAAAGGCGUCCUUUGCCUGCGUCUGCAAAUUAUUCGAAAUAGAUCCCAAGGAGAGGGCCUACAAAACAUUGCUUUCCGCGCGGAAUUUGAUAGAGGUCGUCCGGGAGCCCCAGGAAUAUGUUAUCAAUAUUCUUCCUAGGAAACUGGCAAAGGAUGAGAUAGUGCUUGGGGAGCAUUAUACUGUGAAGGAGCUCCCCCUCUAUCAGGAAGCUAAAGAGGCUGACGCUGAAAGGCGGCGAAAGCUCCUGGAGGAUAGAGAUCAGAAAAAAACUGAAGGCACUAUCCGGAAGGCUCUCGGACAGAAGGGGGGUCCGGACCCUCCUUCAAAGAAAAUUCCAGGAAAGAGGGGGAAGCUAGUGAAGAAGCAUGGGAAGGAUGUGAAGGAACCCACUCCUCCCAAGGAGUUUCCUCCUCCACAAACUACCUAUGAGGGGGAAGUAAUGAUAGAGGAGCCAGUAAAUGCUGCUCCGCACUCUAUCUCAAGCGGCCCCGGACGCAUGUCGGGGUUGAAUCACUCAGGUCCUUCCUUAGUCUCGACUGCGCGUCUGGCUAACGUGGCUGAGGAAGCUGCAUCUAUCAACCAUCCGGGCGACCUUAAUCCGGAUGCUGAUGCAGCUGAAACGGCCCCGUUGGAGGAAGCGGGGGCAGAAAGCCAAAGUCAGCCUUCCGACGACCCGGAUCGCUUGGCCAUAGUCCUGGUGAAAGGGCCUCCCCUCAAGAAGCCGCGUUUGACGCGCGAUCUACAGUCCGGACUCUUUGAGCGGCUUUAAGAGCGGCAGCAAGAGAUUGAAAUUAGCUGCGCUUCUGCCCAUGACGCUCAUCCGGAUGGAGGCGAGGUGGAGAUGGCUACUGAGACCUCAGCCGCUCCGACAAUAAUUCCGGCUGAGGAUGCAUCCGGACCUAUGUGUCCGGACGAAGAUAUGGGGGUUCCGAUUCCGGGACAAGAGUUACCAUCUCCUUCCUCACCUGAGGAGGAAUCUGCUGACGAUGCCGCUCCCGCUAGCCCUUUCAGCUACGCGGAGUUGGAAGUUAAGUUAAAGCAGAUUACACCUGAUUGGAGAGCCAUCAAGCCCUCUGCUCAGAUGUUUGAUAUGAUAGAAACGGUAUAUCGUUGUCUUGUGUUUUUGCUUUUUGACUUUUUGUUGCACUGAUGUGUUUGUUGUAGUAUGAUUUAUGUCUUUGCUUUUCUUGUUUGUGUGUCAGCUGGUGAGGGGCCUCCGCAGCAUGUCUCAACAACACGAUCUUUUUAUUCAGCUGCUGCAGACUGCAGACUAUAUGAGGACCUUCUCCUCUCGGCGCCAAGAGAUUGAAAAUCAACUGCGUCUGAGAAUGGAGGAGGCUGAGGCCAGUCUAUCCACCAUGCGAGAGGAAAAUGAAGCCCUCCGGGUGGAGUUGGCUGAGGCAAAGGGUCGAGAAGAAUCAACUGCGGGCCGCCUUCAUGAGGCGGAGGGUGAGGCAGCCCGGCUAAGGGAUGAAUUGAGUCAACUCCGGACAGAAGUUUUGAAUGAAAAGAAACAGAAGGAAGACUUGCAGCUGCGCCUGGAUGUGCAAAAAGAGGAACUUGAACGGGAGUUUGCUGUGGAAAGAGAGGAACUUGCAGCGGAUUACCAGCAACAAGUGGAUGAUACGUUUAUCUUUGGGUAUCGCUGCUGCAUGAAGAAGAACGGCAUUAAGCGAGAUACCCCUACAAUUCCUCCGGGUGAAGAAAAGAAGCUCCAUGAGAAGCCUGCUCCCUGAUAGUUUAUCUCUUUUUGCAAUUUUUCUGCUGUAAUUUUUCCUUCUGUAUUUUUUUUGUGGUCCGGAGAUCUCUUUGUAAUUACAUUUACUCAUAUCAAUAAAACAUACUUCUUUCUCAUUUGCACUUGUGUAUACUUUCUACUGAUAGUACUGCUUUAAAUUGGACACAUUCCAUGGUCUGAGUAACGGAGUGCCAUCUAGCUUUUGUAAAUGAUAGGCUCCAUUUUCGUUUGCCUUAGACACUAUGUAGGGUCCUUCCCAAUUGGCUUGGAACUUUCCCGCGCCUACUUCAGCAGUAUUUUCAAAAACUUUUCUAAGUACUAGCGUACCAUUUUUGAAGUUUCUGGGCCUGACUUUUCGAUUGUAAUGCGCUGAUGCCCUUUGUUGAUAAUCUGCCAUCCGGAUGGACGCGCUUUCUCUGACUUCGUCUGCCCAGUCCAAAUUUCUUCCUAGUUCCGUGUUGGCGUCUUUUUGCUUUGCUGCAUCAGUCCGGAUAGUAGGAAGACCUAUUUCAGUGGGAAUGACUGCAUCCAUUCCAUAUGUGAGGGCAAAAGGAGUAUUUCCUGUUGGUCGUCCGGGUGUGGUUCGAUAGGCCCACAGGACGCCGGGUAGCUCCUCCACCCACUUCCCUUUGGCUUGCUCCAGCCUUUUCUUCAAGGCAUUGAUUAGAGUUUUGUUUGUGGCUUCCGCCUGGCCAUUGCUUUGAGGAUAACGUGGCGUGGAGUAUGAAUUCCGGAUAUUCAAUUCCGAACAGAAAUUCCUGAAUGCAAUGCUGUCAAAUUGUGGACCAUUGUCAGCUAUGAUGAUUUGGGGAAUUCCAAAGCGGCAAACAAUGUUCUUCCAUACGAAUUUGGUGACAUCUUUAUCUUUGAUGCUUGCAUAUGCUUCAGCUUCUACCCAUUUACUGAAGUAAUCAGUGGCGACAAGGAGGAAUUUCUUCUGGGCGGGUGCUGCUAGGAGGGGUCCCACUAUGUCCAUGCCCCACUGCGCGAAAGGCCAUGGGCCUGAGACCGAUUUUAAUGCGGCUGAUGGCAUGCGCGGAAUGGGAGCGUAUCUUUGACAUUUAUUACACUUUUGAACAUAUGCUGCCGCGUCUUUCUUCAUUAUUGGCCAAUAGUACCCCUGUGAAUGAGCUCUAUGUGCUAGGGAUCGUCCUCCCGUAUGAUUUCCGCAUAUUCCUUCAUGUAAUUCAGCUAGCACAUACUGGGCCUCUGAAUGCCCAAGACAGCGAAGAUAAGGCCCUAUGAAAGAUCGCUUGUACAGGUGCCCCCCGAUCAGGGUGAAGCGGGCAGCCUGCACCCGGAUUUUGUGUGCUUGUUUAAGAUCUUUGGGUAAAGUGCCUGUCCGGAGAUAUUCUGCAAUAUCAUGCGUCCAUUCUUGAUUAUCCGUUUGGGUUGCCUCAACGGUGUUGCAAGUGGAAUUUUCUGCGACAAAGGGAUUGGCUUGCACAUGUAUGGGCAAUAGAAUGACUUCUUUGAUAGGUAGAGAGGCAGCUAUGCCGGCCAAAGCGUCAGCGUGCCUAUUGUCAGCUCGCUUAAUUUUUUCGAUUGUCCACUCGGUGAAUUGCUGUAAGGUGCUUCUUACUUUGGCCAAGUAUCGCGCCAUGCGUGAGUCCUUAGCCUCAUAUUCUUUCUGGACGUGCCUUACCACUAGUUGCGAGUCGCUGUAGAUCCGGAGUUUGGAGACGGAUAGAGCAAGGGCGAGGUCCAAUCCGAACAGGAUGGCCUCGUAUUCUGCUUCAUUGUUAGACGCGGAGAAUCCCAGCCGGAUGGCUUGCUCCAGAUGUUCCCCAGUUGGGGACUGUAAUAAGAGCCCAACUCCAGAGCCUGAUGAGCGUGAGGCUCCGUCAACUCGUAGUGUCCACCACUCCUGUUCACUUGAUUCGUGGUGCUGGUUGGGUCUUCGUGAAUAUUCGAGCACAAAGUCGACCAUUACUUGGCCUUUUUUGGAUAAUCUGGGUUGGAAUUCGAUUCCAAAUUCGCUCAAUUCGAUGGCCCAUUGUAGCAUUCGCCCGGUUAAAUCUGGUUUGUGCAGAAUGCUACGAAGGGGUUGGUCGGUCAAUACAAUCACUGGGUGGGCUUGAAAAUAGGGGCGGAGCUUUUGGGCAGCACUUCGAAGAGUUAAGGCUGUUAGCUCCAUUUUUGAAUACCUGGUUUCUACAUCUGCCAAUGCCCUGCUGACAUAGUAGACAGGUUUCUGCUCCUUUGGUGAAGGGCAGCGGAAUAGAACGGCGUUGAUUGCCCAUUCUGAGACAGCUAGAUACAUGUAUAGCUUCUCCUUUGGGAUGAGGCUGCUCAAGAUGGGUGGAUGCAUAAGACAAUGUUUAAUUCUUUCCAACGCGUUUUGGCAAUUGUCCGUCCACCCCUGCGUUCCAGCUUUUCGUAUUGCCAAGAAGAAGGGUCGCAACUCAUCAGUGAAGCGGGCUAUGAAACGUCCUAACGCAACGAGCUUGCCUAUGAGGCGUUGUAACUCCUUUUUGUUCCUGAGAGGAGGUGUCUCCAUGACUGCUUUGACCUGAUCCGGGCUGACUUCUAUGCCUCUUUGGCUGACCAUAAAUCCCAGAAAUUUGCCAGCACUCACGCCAAAGGCACAUUUGGAAGGAUUUAGCUUCAUGCCAUACUUUCGCAAGAGAUAAAAAACUUCUUGUAAAUGGAGGAUAUGCUGCUCUCGCGUUUUGCUUUUAACUACGAUAUCGUCAAUGUAUACUUCGACCGAGCGGCCUAUCAGAGGUUUGAAGAUUUUAGUCAUCAAUCUUUGAUACGUGGCGCCAGCGUUCUUGAGUCCGAAUGGCAUGACUUUGUAGCAAUAGAGGCCGUGUGGCGUUAUGAAUGCUGUUUUUUCUUCGUCAUCCGGGGACAUGGGGAUUUGAUGAUAUCCGGAGAAGGCAUCCAAGAAAGAGAGCAUCCCCUGUCCGGAAGUGGAAUCCACAAUCUGAUCUAUUCGUGGUAAGGGGAAACUAUCUUUUGGACAUGCACUGUUGAGAUUGGUGUAAUCUACACAAACUCGCCAUUUUCCUUCUUUUUUGGGUACCACGACUACGUUUGCCAGCCAAUCCGGAUACGAAACUUCUCUGAUGAAUCCGGCUUCGAGCAAUUUAUCAAUCUCGUUCCGGAUGAUUCUUUGUCUAUCCGGGUGGAAGCGCCUAAUCCUCUGCCGGACGGGUCUGGUAGUUGAAAAGACGUUAAGCCUGUGAGAUGCAAUGGAGGGAUGAAUUCCCUUCAUGUCAGAAUGUGCCCACGCGAAGAUGUCAUGGUUCUGUCUGAGGACUUUUUGCAUGCCGCGAGUUUCUUCUUGUGUCAUGAGGGAACUGAUGUUUGUGAGGUGAUCACUUUCCUCCGAAAUUUGGAUUGUCUGUAAGGGAUCUGCUACCGGGGGAUCUUUGUCCGCCGGAUCCAAUAAUUGCUAUUGGUCGUGCGCAAUGCUAGGUUCAGGGGGAGAUGCAUCCUCCUGGUUAGCGACUGCCUCGCGUGCUAUUUGAUAGCACUGGCGAGCGGCUAAUUGGCUGCCAUACAAGUCGGUUUGCCCUUCGUUGGUGAGGAAACUCACCAUUUGAUGAUAUGUGGAAGGGAUGGCUUUCAUGUAGUGGAGCCAUGUGCGUCCCAAGAUGACAUUGAAGGGUGAUAACUCUUGUACCACCGAGAAUUGUACGUUGAGAGUGACUGGACCAGCUUGGACCGGCAGUAUAAUGUCUCCUAUGGAUGUGGUUGAUGACCCAUUGAAUCCGGAUAAGAUUCGUCCGGGGUUUUCGAGACCCGCGAGACUAUGUCCCAUAUGGCCAACGACUGAUGCUUGCACCAGAUCGGCUGAACUGCCUGGGUCGACCAAGAUACGUCUUACAUCAAACUCUCCUAUUUCUAGGGAGAGGAUGAGGGCGUCGCGAUGUGGCUGUAGCGUCCGGGUGGGAUCUGCUGGUGGGAAAAUGAUUGUCCCAUCUAUGGGGCGAGGGCCCUCUCCAGUAAGACCCGGCCGGAUGGAAUUAAUGCGUUCGCGUAUUGACGCGGCUCGCAGCAAUUUCUGCUUUUUCCUUCUGGAAUCAUAUUCCUCGUCAGAUGGGCCCCCGUUGAUAUAGUUUAUGACAGCCUUGGGGGCGAUUGGGGCACUCGGGGCCCCAGAGUUACGAUGUUGAGAUACGUCUCUUCCUCCAGUAUCUGAGCGGAUGUACUGUUUUAAAUGUCCUGCUUUGAUGAGCCUUUCAACUAGAUACUGGAGGGACCGACAUGUCUCUGUUGUAUGACCAUGGUCUUUGUGAAAGGCGCAUUUCUUGCUGCGGUCUCUUAUGGAUGGGUCCGUUUCGAGGGGUCUAGGCCACCUGAAGUCGGACAACCCUUGGAUCAUUGGGAGAAGCUUUUCGUAUGAUAUGGAUAGGGGUGUGAUGGGCGGCCUAUCCGGACGACUCGGCCCGUCCUGCCUCCGGUCAACUGGUUUUGGCCGGUCCGGAGGUUUGGCAUGUUUGUCCGUGUUAUCUCUAGAAGCCCGUCCGGCAACCAAAACUUGCUGGGUGGCUGCACGUACGUCAUCUUCGAGCAUUGAAUAUUUGUUAGCACGUCUGAACAAAUCGUCCAUCGUUGUAGGAGGCUUUUUGGCCAGCGAUUCAAAAAAUGGAGUGCCUGGACAGAUGCUUCUUUUGAAGAUCUGUAGGAUAGCAUCCAUGCUGCAAACCUCUAUUUGGAGUACGGCUUGGCCAAAUCGUUUCACAAAUUCGCUCAAGGAUUCGUUGUCUCUCAUUUUUAUGUUCUGGAGGGUGCUGAUAUUCUGCUUGUGUCGAGCAGAGCACAAGUACUGUCCCACGAAUGCUUCAGAGAGGUCCCUGAAAUUGUCAACAGAGUUAGGAGGUAGGCGAUGAAACCAUGAGAGGGCCUGCCCUUGAAGGCUGGCGGGGAAUACUUUGCAUAGCAAUGCAUCGUUGCCAAUAUCGAGCGUCAUGAGCUGUCGAUAGUGCAUGAUGUGAUCGAAGGGAUCGUUGGUCCCAUCGUAUGUGGAAAACUUUGGUACGAGGAAUCCCCUUGGGGGCUCGUAAUGGGUGAUAUGAGAGCAAAAGGGCAUGGAGAGCAUGUCAUCCAGCCUUUUGCUGAUGGAGCCAAUGGGUGGCUCGUUUGGGAGGUUUCUCCCAGCUGGUCGUUCCGCUAGGUGUGAGUGAACGUUCCGCAUCGCUGGGGUGACCAUGGGGUCACGAUGCGGAGGUACGUUCUGCACCAUGGGAGCGAUCAUAGGAUCGGGGCGUGGUGCCCGGGUUGUGGCUACUGGUGGCCUUGAUCUCCCAGGCUCUUGUGGGCCUAGUCUUGCGCGCAUAGAACUUGACAACUGUGAUUUUCUAUCACGUUGUCUUUUUGCUGAAAAAUGAGUGGAAUCUGAGCUUUCCUCACGGGGAGCUCGAGGCAUGGGCGUGCGUGGCUCAUGGGGCCUUGCGUUGUAUGCUCUUGGGGCAGCUCCUGUUGACCCAGGAUAUAUCGAUUCUGGCUCUGGCCUUGAAUUUGCCACCUGGCCUCUUGAAUGUUGACGACGAGGAGGACCUAACGUUGAGGCUUGAAUGCGUAACACAGCGUUUUCUUCCCUUAACCUCUCCGUCUCCUGGAGGAGAGCUCUUAGUUGUUUUUCGCUCGCCAACUGUCUUUUUUCGAUGGCUUGACGCCAUUCGUAAUUAUCUUCCUCCUUUCUACCAGAUGAUCGACUUUGGGAAGGUGUGGCCAUCUUUGCUAGUGACUGAAUCAGAAUAAAAAGUAAAAGUUUCCCACAGACGGCGCCAAUGUUGUCGCCUCGCGUAUCCGGUGAUCCACAUUGCUGCUAGAGGGAUGGACACGUGAUUCUCAACACACAAGGGGUUCUUGAUUUAGCGAUUGCACCUGCAAAAGGCAUCCGGACAGGGUGUCCGGACGCACCCUCCGAUGGUUUUGUUAGCCAUGGUGAAAGAGAGAUAUAUAAAUCAGUUGGCCUUUUACUAGGUAUCAAGAGGUUACCAGGGGAUCAGCCUUUUCUUCUUCGUGUGAAGUCAUAUAUAUACAGCUUCAGGGGUACUGCUCCUUUCAUUAAUGGUGAGAAGAUAUUUUAUGUUGUGAUGAUGAUAAUAGGUGUCAGUAGGAGCACUAUCAUCCUACGAACGGUUGUCAGAGACCAUGGUAGGUGAUGCGGCUGUCAGAGAUCGUGGGAAGCGAUUAUGUAGAAUGAUCGUGGGAAGUGACUUGCUGUCACUUCCUCUUGUCUUCUCAUUCUGCAGGUGAUGGGAUGUGGGCCAUGGCUGCUUGUUGUGAUUGCGUGUAAGACUCGCUUUACUUUAAUUGACUAUCCAGACGAUUUAUAUCCGGAUGGAUCAUGCUGAUUAUCCGGAUGUGUUGUGGAGACUAUCCGGGUGUCUACGCUCUGCCAGCGUCGUUUGCUCUUCCUUGGAUAGGAGAAGCUGAAACGUCGUUUGUCUUUCCUUGAGGGGUUCCGGAUAGGAUAGCCGCACCAUGCAUAUCUUUAGGGGAAUCCGGAUGAUGAUGGUCCGGCUGAUAACACGUGCCAAGCGUCACCAUGAGCUGCGUGCCACGUGUUUCCCAAGGGAAGGGGUCCCUACACUGACCACUAUGGGAUGGUGAGGGCUUUCGACUGUUUUUGGACACAAUGAUAACAAUAAUCAAGUUGUAUAACAAUUGUAUGUAGUAUAUUAGUUCCUCGGUUGUGAGAACUUGGAGAAUAUGGAACACGAUGUUAGCGCUAUGGUGAAGAUAGGUGUGGAGGUUGAUUUUGCACACAUUAAUUAUGAUGAAAGUGACAGUUGCACCAUCUAGGAAAGUUGCACAUAAAAAUGAUUGUAAUUGUAUGACAUUUGUAUAGGGACUAUAGUACACAAAUUUCUGGUUGUAAAUGUAUCUUAAUGGUUAUAGGGACUUUUGUUAUCAGAAUUAUGCAUGGAAUUUAAUUGAUUGAUUUUACAUUUCAUAAUAGGGUAUUAAGUGUUUGGACUAUAAUGGAUUUUUAUUUUUAUUUUUUGUAUUUGUUUUAAUAUAUUAUGUCAUUGUGUUUCAAUUUUGUAAGCUGCUUGAUUCAAGCUAAUGCUAACUAUUUAUAUGCUAUUCUCUCUUAUUUCAAUUCAUAUAAUUACUUCAUUCUAUUUUUUUUGUUAAAUAAAUAAAUUAUGUCUUCUAAACACACGUCUGAGUAUGGAUUGCAACUUAUAAAAUUGUAAAAAAUAAAAUAAAAUUAUAUCAUAUUUUUUAUAUUUUAAGAAUUUUUAAUAUAAGCUCUUAAUCUAUAUCAAUAAAUCUAAUCUACUAACAGGUGAAAAAAAGAAAUUUAUGUACAAAGAAUUGAGAUUAAAAUAUAAAAAAAAAUUAAUCAACAUUACAAUGUGAAUAAAUGGGAUGUAUAUAAUUAAUAUUGAUUACUUUUGGCAUCAAGGAAAAAUCUAACCAUGUGACAACCACAUCACUCUUUAAUGCGCUUUUCAACAUAUGGCUACUUUUAUUCUUUUUCCCUUUUGCUUCUUCAAUUCUUUAACUUCUUUUGAGAAAAGCCAAGUACAUGGGCCCUUUUAAGUUGAAAAAUGAGUCAUAGCAUGCUUAUCUUUCCACAUUGUUCUAAUUUUUCAUAGAAAUGAUCCAACAAAUACAUUGAAAUUGUAUUGGAAGAUGAAGGGUGAUUGCACCAAUUGGCCAUGGCUAUGGAGUUGGUACUAGUGUUCCUCUAAUAAUGUUCUCCAGGUAAAGUCAAAGUAUUUUUGCCUUCUUCCCCUUUACUUUAAUUACCAUUUUAUCGAUUUGAUUAGUGUAAUUAUCUGAAAAUAUAUAUCAUUAAUAUUUCUCUAAUCUUGGAUUGGAUUUAAAUUGAUUAGAUUGUCUAAUUUAAAAUCCAUUCAUAAUUUUUUCUACUAUAUUUAUACAAAAAUUUAAAUAGUAAAAUAAAAUUUUAAAAUAGUAAUAAAAAAAAGUAGAAAUAAAUUUACAUACCUUUAAAAAAAAUGAAAAAUUACAUGAUAUGAUUAUAAUUUGAUGUUUUUAAAAAAAUAUAAAAUAUAUAUAUUAUUAUGUAAAAAAUAUAUAUUAUAAACAUGAUGAAAAUAUUAAAUCAAGUUUAUUAUCUGUUGACAAAUAGAAUGAGAUGUUUAGGUCUACUAUAAUGUCUAGUCAAUCAUUCGAGCAAGGAGAUUGGCUAUGUAAAUCAUGGUAAGCUUUCUAAAAGCAAGGUUUUCACGGAUGGAAGACCAUAAAAUUUAGAAAGAUUCCAUUAUAUUUACAUCUUUCACUUCCAUCAUAGAAAGCAGACAUACAUGAAUGGGCCAUGGGUUGAGUGAUGGCACACCUAACUUUCCACAUUGUCGUCAUUAAUUUCCAACAAAAAUAAUUGACGGCAUUGAGUUCUUAUUGGAGCAAAGAAAGCUGCUACUCCAUUCCUAUUCUUCCUAACGACGUCUUGUGUCUUUCAUUUCCACUUCGCAUCUGCUAACCUUCAUCUUCCCCUCAAUUCCUUCACUUCCUCUGCAGAGAAACAGGCAUGGCCCUAGAGAUAUUUGCAGGAGCUUUUCUCUCCGCUUCUCUCCAUGUUCUUUUCGACAGGUUGGCUUCUUCCGAGGUAUGGACCUUCAUCGGGGGACAGAAGGUCAGUGAGGAACUCCUUCUGGAGUUGGGGAUGAAAUUGCUGGUUGUGGAUAAAGUGCUCGACCAUGCUGAGGUAAAGCAAUUUACAGAUGAACGAGUCAAAAGGUGGUUGGUGCGCGUUAAGAAUGCUGUGUAUGAUGCGGAAGACCUACUGGACGAGAUUACCACAGAAGCUUUGCGACGCAAGAUGGAAGCUGCUGACUCCCAGACUGGCCCAACUCACGUACUGAACAGCUUUUCCACAUGGUUUAAGGCCCCACUUGCUGAUCAUCAAAGCAUGGAAUCUAAGGUAAAGAAGAUCAUCGGAAAACUGGAAGUUCUUGCACAAGCAAUAGAUGUGCUUGCUUUGAAGGGUGAUGGUAAGAAACUGCCACAAAGAUUACCCUCGACUUCUCUGGUGGAUGAAUGUUGUGUGUACGGCAGGGAUGAAAUUAAAGAGGAGAUGAUUAAAGGGUUGUUGUCUGAUAAUACAGGUCGCAACAAGAUAGAUGUGAUCUCCAUAGUCGGCAUGGGCGGCGCAGGCAAGACCACCCUGGCUCAGCUUUUGUAUAAUGAUGGGAAAGUGAAAGGACACUUUCACCUGAAAGCAUGGGUUUGUGUUUCGGAGGAGUUUUGUCUUCUCAAGGUGACAAAAUCAAUUCUUGAGGGAAUAGGAUCUGCGGCCUCUUCUCAUAUGCAAAGCGAGAACCUGGAUUUGCUUCAGCAAAACUUAAAAGAUAGCCUUGGUGACAAGAAAUUUCUACUCGUUCUGGAUGAUGUUUGGGAGAAAUGUCCUAGUGAAGGGGCAGGGUUACGAAUUCCGCUCCUAGCUGCUUGGGAAGGGUUACGAAUUCCACUCCUAGCUGCUGGGGAAGGAAGCAAGGUUGUUGUGACCACUCGCAAUCGAAACGUUGCAAAAAUCAUGCGUGCAGAUCAUACUCAUCCUCUGGAAGGGUUGUCCCAGGCACAUUGUUGGUCCUUAUUUGAAAAACUUGCAUUUGAAAAUGGAGCCUCGGGCCCAUAUCCUCAACUUGAAUCAAUAGGCAGAAAGAUCGUGGCUAAAUGCCAAGGAUUGCCUUUAGCGGUCAAAGCACUUGGUUGUCUCUUGUAUUCUAAAACUGACCGAAGGGAAUGGGAACAAAUUUUGGAGAGUGAAAUUUGGGAUUUGCAAGAUCAUGAAAUCGUUCCUUCGUUGAUAUUGAGUUAUCGAGAUCUCCCAUUGCAUCUGAAACGAUGUUUUGCCUAUUGCUCCAUUUUCCCCAAGGACCAUGAAUUUGAUAAGGAGAAUCUGAUUUUACUAUGGAUGGCAGAAGGACUUCUACAAUUUUCAAAAAGCAAUGAAAGAAUGGGAAAGGUAGGUGAGAAGUAUUUUGAUGAACUUGUAUCGAAGUCAUUUUUUCAGAAAUCUGCUUUCAACAAAUCAUGCUUUGUCAUGCAUGAUCUCAUGCAUGACUUGGCUCAAUAUAUAUCUAGAGAAUUUUGUAUUCGAGUUGAGGAUGAUAAGGUGCAAGAAAUCUCAGAGAACACUCAUCACUCAUUGGCCUUUUGUCGUACCUUUGAUAGAUUGGUUGUGUUUAAGAGGUUUGAGGCCCUUGCAAAAAUAAAGUGUCUUCGAACGUACCUUGAGUUUUCAGAGGAAUUUCCUUUUUAUAUUCCAAGUAAAAGGGGAAGUGUUGAUUUACACGCUAUAUUAUCUAAAUGGAGGUACUUACGAGUGUUGUCAUUGCGUUUUUAUAGACUUACUGAUUUGCCCGAUUCAAUAGGUGAAUUAAAAUAUUUGCGUUAUUUGGAUAUCUCAUAUACUGGGAUUAAAAAGUUGCCUGAUUCCGUGUGUUAUUUAUACAAUUUACAAACAAUGAUUCUAUCAGUAUAUUACCAUUUCAUUGAAUUGCCUGAAAGGAUGGAUAAAUUGAUUAAUUUGCGUUAUCUUGAUAUAAGAGGAUGGAGAGAAAUGCCAAGUCACAUUAGUACAUUAAAAAGUUUACAGAAGUUGAGUAAUUUUAUUGUGGGCCAAAAAGGUGGAUCAAGAAUUGGUGAAUUAGGAGAGCUUUCAGAUAUUGGGGGAAGACUUGAAAUUUCAGAAAUGCAGAAUGUGGAGUGUGCUAGGGAUGCGUUGAGAGCGAAUAUGAAGGAUAAGAGACACCUUGAUGAACUAUCCUUGGCAUGGAGAGACGAAGGUACUAAUGAUGUUAUACAAAGUGGCGUCCUCAACAACUUGCAGCCUCAUCCAAAUUUAAAGCAGCUUACCAUCGCAGGUUAUCCCGGUGUAGCAUUUCCAGACUGGAUAGGAGGAGGUUCUUCACUCUCGAAUCUGGUCACCCUGCUGUUGUGGACAUGUGAAAAUUGUUCAUCAUUGCCACCACUUGGGCAACUACCCUCUCUUAAACAUCUUUCUAUCUCAGGACUAAAAGGAGUAGAGAGGGUGGGAAGGGAGUUUUAUGGGGAUGCUUCUUCCUCCAUUGCAAGUAAGCCCUCCUUCCCAUUCCUACAAACUCUAAGAUUUGACAGGAUGGACAACUGGGAGCAAUGGUUAUGUUGUGGAUGCGAAUUCCAUCGUCUCCAGGAGCUUUAUAUAAAGAAAUGUCCCAAACUCACAGGGAAAUUACCAGAAGAGCUUCCUUCAUUGAAGAAACUUGAAAUUGAUGGAUGUCGGGGGCUGCUUGUGGCUUCACUCCAAGUUCCAGCCAUUCGUGAAUUGAAAAUGGUGGGUUUUGGUGAAUUGCAGUUGAAAAGGCCAGCCUCUGGCUUCACUGCUCUUCAAACUUCACAUAUUGAAAUUUCAAAUGUGCCUCAGUGGAGGCAACUACCAUUGGAACCGCACGAGCUCACAAUUACAAACCUUGAUGCUGUAGAGUCUCUACUAGAGGAGGGAAUCCCGCAAACCCACCCUUCUGUCAUGCAUGAUUUGAAAAUCAGGGGUUGUUAUUUUUCCAGACCGUUGAACAGAUUUGGUUUUUCCAUGGUCACAUUAAAAUCGCUACAAAUCUGUGACUGUAACAACGUAGGGUUUCUCCUACCUGAGUUGUUCAGAUGCCAUCACCCAUCUCUUGAAGAAUUAAAAAUCAUCGAUAGUAAAACCGAUUUAUCUCUCUCAUCAUCCUUCUCAUUAUCCUUCUCUUUAGCCAUCUUCCCCAGGUUGAUUCAUUUUGAUAUCAGUUCUGUAGAUGGUCUUGAAUCCCUCUCCAUCUCGAUUUCAGAAGGGGAACCAACUUCUCUUCGUUCGUUGGAAAUUAUCAAGUGCGAUGAUCUUGAAUAUAUUGAAUUGCCUGCUCUCAACUCGGCAUGCUAUAGUAUCUCGGAAUGCUGGAAGCUCAAGUCGCUGGCACUCGCACUCUCAUCCUUGAAGAGAUUAAGUUUAGCAGGUUGUCCACAAUUGUUGUUUCACAACGAUGGUUUGCCCUUCGACCUACGUGAACUCGAAAUUUUCAAAUGCAACCAACUCAAGCCCCAGGUGGACUGGGGUUUGCAGAGACUGGCCUCUCUUACAGAAUUCAUAAUCGGUGGAUGCCAGAACGUGGAGUCAUUUCCCGAGGAGCUCCUGCUGCCCCCCACUCUUACCACUCUUGAAAUGAAAUAUUUUCCAAAUCUCAAGUCUCUGGACGGUAGAGGGCUUCAACAGCUUACCUCGCUCACAAAAUUAUCCAUCCGUCACUGCCCUCAGCUCCAAUUUAUUCCACAAGAGGGGUUUCAACAUUUUCCUUCUCUUAUGGAAUUAGAGAUCGAAGACUGCCCGGGCCUCCAAUCCUUUGGGGAAGACAUCCUUCGACAUCUUUCAUCUCUUGAACGAUUAUCCAUCUGUCGGUGCGAUGCACUCCAGUCCUUGACAGGAUCGGGUCUUCAACACCUCACCUCUCUUGAAAAAUUGGAAAUCCGUCUCUGCCCUAAGCUCCAAUCUUUGAAAGAAGUGGGUCUACCAUGCCUUGCCCCUCUUAAACAACUACACAUCUCGGGCUUACCCGAGCUCCAAUCCUUGACAGAAGUGGGUCUUCAACACCUCACCUCUCUUGAAAUAUUAUGCAUCUUCAACUGUCCUAAGCUUCAAUCCUUGACAGGAGAGAGACUUCCAGAUUCCCUCUCUUUUCUACACAUCAAGAACUGUCCUUUGCUGGAACAGCGGUGCCAAUUUGAAGAAGGGCAAGAAUGGGAUUAUAUAGCUCACAUCCCACGAAUAUACAUCGGUCGUGAGGCAUUCUAACGAAGGUGUUUGCUGGAGUAAUAAUUAGCCAGGUACUUAUGCUACAUUUUAACAUUUUAACCAACCAAGAAUUAUAUUUCCACGACUUCUUCAAUUUACCUUUCAAAAUGCUGUGAAAUAUUUUAAUUACUUUAAUCCUUUUGAGGGCCUAACAAAUGUUGAUCUUUUUCCCAUGCUACAAAAUUUGGGAUUUAACUUUGUGAAGAGGAGCAAGGGAAGAUUAACCACAGGUAGGCAACAUUUUGAACAAUUUGAGACUAGAAUCAAAUGUGGUUUUGCAAACAUUUGUGUACAUUGUACUUCCAGAAUGUAAAUUUGUGUCUAUUUCUCUUACAGAGUCACAGAGGAAAUCAAUAAGAUCUCAAAUUGCAAGAAUUUCAGGUCACUGAUGCUUGCUCUGGUACUUUACUGAGUAUCACGAACUGUUCGUGGCUGAUGUCCCACAUGUAGUAAGAGAUGAUCUGGCUUUCUAACGACGAUGAUUGCACACCAAUUUACAGUCAGUCAGGUAAUUUUUGUUUUUGUUAAUUAUUUCAGUUUGGUAUAUUAUUUGAUUCCAUAUCUCCUGCUAUUGAAUCUUUUCAGAUUCCGAUAAUGGUCCAUAAGUUGAAGCUUUUACACAACUAUGUUGCAAUCCAGGUGCAUUGAGCAGCCCUACAGAUUUGGUGUCUUGAUUAGCAUUAUUGGGUUUGUUUUCCAUGGGCUAAAUCAUUGGGAACCACUUUUGAUUAUCAGUUUCUAAGGGGCAUUGUGUUUCAGGUAUGUAACAACAAAGACACAUACUACCUUCUGCAUCCCAGUACCCUUCACAAGAUUGGUGCAGGACAUGCUCUGUUUCUUUGAUUUAAGAUUUAUUCAGAGGGUAGGACUCCGGAACAAAAAUAGAAGAAGAAUGGGGGGAGAAUGACUCAGGGAAGCUAUUGCUUUAAGCAUACACAAGAAGCAAGACACAGAGUUCUGAUGAAUGCCAUUUUCUCUUUUGCAUUUUGACUAGCAUUUGAUCCAAGUACUCCUUUCAGAUCUUAAUACUCCAUUCAAGGGACUGCAGAACCUCAGCUCUCUUCAAGAACUGAAUGAUGUUUUCUCACACUUUUGAUGGAGAAUGAACCCUCCUUGUUUGUUGAAUUUAAGACUUAUUUUGAAACUAGAAACCAGGAACAAAUAUAUGAAGAAGAGCAAGAGAGAGUUGACCCUAGAUAGCUUACAUUAUUGCGCAAAUUUAUGUUAGAUCUAGGACUCAUUUUGGAAACUACUGGUCCAAAAACAAACACAGUGAAGCAGAACUAAGAUGAUACAAUUUAUUAAAGACUUCUCCAAAUCUAUUUUGUGUAAUCAUUUAGAUGACUCAAAUUAAAAUUCUUCAUGCUUUAAAAAUAUGUCACCCAUCAUAUUCUGUCCACUCCCUUCCCCUUCAUAUUUUAAUUCAUCAUCAAUUAGAGUUUCUAAUGCCAAUGAUAAAUUAAACUCCAUAGUGAAUUUUUCUUAUUCUUUUUCUGAUCAAUUGUGAUUAUGAAGCAAAUAUCUUAAAAAGAUAAGUCAGAGCACAUCCAUAGCUGUACCUCUGCAAAUUUCUGAUCAAUUCAUCCAUGUUUUCUUUCCUUUUAUUUAUUUUUAUAUGGUAGCUGUUGAAUUCUCUGACUAUAUAUUCUCAUAAACUCACACCCAAUACUUUCAGUUUCAUAUAUGAUCUAAUGGAAUGAGUUAACACCUAAAUAUUUGUCUAAUUGUUGUGUCUUUUGCAGAUGCCUUCCACUUUCGCCAGCCUUGUAACCCUACUUAUUCGAAGGUAUUUCCUUUUCUUCCCUGCUCGUUGUAUAGAUAUCACUACUUUGCUCCUUAUAAACUGCACCAUUAGUUUUAUAAAAAAAAAAUAGCACCUGUAAUGCUGCAGCUGUUUUCAUGGCUGGUCUUGCUCCUAAAAUUUUUGUCUUUUGUAUGUUCAAAGCGAGGGUUUAGUUAUUAUGAUGGCUCUUUGAAAUGGAAGGUGGAGUUAGGAAGAUGUGUCUGUUGUAGCGGCUGUGACAUAAUUGCUACUAAAAUUAAGAGAUAUUAUUCUUGAUGGUUCUCUCCCUCCUCCUUGAUGGGAUCUGCGAAAAUUGACUAGUGAGUGAGCCACUACCAUGCCUUUCCAUGCUAUAUUACUGAAACAAAAUUGGUCAAAUCUUACAGAGGUGGCUCUGUUUUGAUUUGGCAGGCUUGCACUUACGAGGAGUCCCCGUGGUGAAAGGCCCUGGAGAUUUUCUUGUUUUGCACCAAGUCAACCAGUUUCAAAAGACAAGCCAGUUUAAGUACAACAUCUUUGUGAUGUACCUUUGGAACUUUUUUCUUUCCUGAUUUUGAUGUCAUUUUCUGCUUGGUUUGGUCUUUCUUGGGUGUCAACAGUGACCAGGAAUUUUUGACAAAAUGGAGAGUGCCAGUCUCCCUCUCUUAUUUGACGGUCAACUACUGUUGUUCUCUCCAAGAACAGUUCCAAUUCAGGAAAGGGAAAGAUGGGCAUUAUAUAGCUCACAUUCCACAAAUGGAGAUAGGCCUAGUGCUGUUCUAAUGAAGGUGGUGGUACAUCAAUAUAUAACAAGGUAAUUGUUCUAUGCUCAAAAUAAAUUUCUUCCAAAAAUGUUUCACUUGAGAUUUUUCUCUUAACCCAACAAGCCUAGUUCGAGAUAAUUCACACUUCAACACAGCCAGCUUUCAUUUUAUUUGGCAGAUUGCACUUACUGGGAGUUCCUGUAACAAAAGGUUGUGGUGACGCUUUAUUCUGCCUAAACAAGAGGAUCACUUACCAAAGGCAGGGGGAUAGAAUUCUAACAUCUUUGUUCUAUGGUUGCCACUCGUUUCUUUCCCAAGUUUUGAUGUCAUUUUGUUAUUGUUUUCGUUCUGGUGUUUGUUAGGUCUUGAUUGCUCGGGGAGAAUACGAAGAUGUUCUAUUGCUGUGGGGUUAUGGUCUUAGAAUUGAGAACAUUCUUGUGCUUCUAUCGGUGACUAUGGGCAUUGGUUCUCAUUGUUUGUGUCAACAAGAGUCAAUUGUAUAUUUGUAGAGAAAUAAUGUCUAAAUUUUUAAUGAAGGUUUACUCCAUGAGACUUGCAAGAAGAAUAUUGUAAUUAAAUUGAUCAACCUAUGAGACUUUUGGUAGUUCUGUUUGCCAUUUUGAUGUCGGUAUCAUCUUGAAGUGGUGGAGUGCAGUUUCCUCAUUGAACUUUAUGAUUUUAUAUGGAAAAGAUGAUUUUGAGCUUAUUCAUUGUCUUCAUGCAUUUUUUUUUUUGUUAUUUUUGCUCAAAUUUGGAAGUUUAUACCAAGCUAAGAAUGUACAAAUUGUUAUGCACUCUUUAGAUUGUUUGUUUACCCAUUUUGUUGUCAUUUUAUUCUUGUUUUGGUGUUUGUUAGGUCUUGAUUGCGACCAGAAAUUUAAUAGAUGUCUACUGCUGUGGAGAUGAUUAUUGAGAUCACUCAUGGAUCCCAUUCCAAACAAGCCUAUUCUUUCAGUUUUUCUAAUGAUUGAGCAUUAUAAAAUUAGGUUGUGUGAAUAAAUUUCUUUUAUCCUCUUAAUAGACUAUCUCAAAAGCCCUUUUGAUUUACCAUUUUAGGGUUUUGAUUCUAUUGGAUUUGUUGUCAGCCCUAGGAAGUUCCUGUUUUAAAAUUUGAUUUGUAAUGUUAAGACCAUUAACAAAGUGACAUUGUAAGUAUCAUUUUCCAUGGAAUAAUUCCUUAGAAAGUUCAUGGCAGUCCCCAUUUUCUUCAUGACAAAUAUUAGAACUCUGAAAGCCAUCUCUUCCCUAAACCAUUCCUGAUAAUCAAUUUUGAGAAUCAUGAAACUGUUUCGUCGAUGACAGCAGCAAAAUAUCAGGAAUUGCAGAGCCUCAACUCUCUUGAAGAAUUGUGUAUGUACAAAAAUACCAUUGCUCAUACUGUUAUUGGGACUAAGAGAGCAAAGCAUGCACUAUUUUUGUUAAGCAUACAUAUUCAUUCAAAAACAUCCUUUGAGCAAUUUAAGAAUACCCACCAAUUCUCAAUUUUGUAUGACUUGUUUCCACUUCCAUAACAUCAAUGUCUGAACUUAUCUAUUUAUCUUACAGAGGCACAGAGGAAAUCAAUGAGAUCUGUAAUUGCAGAAUAUACACACUCUCUGGAAUGGGCCUUAUAUGCAAUCUUUGGAAAAUCCCUUGCUUUUGAGUAAUUCCUGUGUUGAAGCUUUCACACAUCAUCUAUAAUGGACUAUUGUUUAUGAAACAGGUGCACGAAAGCUGGUCUACAAGUUUGGUUUCUUGAUUAGAAUUUUUUGCAUAAACUUACGAAUCUCUCUUACAAAAUUAUCCAUCAACAACUGCCCUGAGCUCCACUCUUUUGGUGAAGAGGGGCUUCAACAUCUUACAUCUCUUGAACAAUUGGAGAUCAGUAGUUACCCUGUCCUCCUGUCCUUAAACAGGGUCGGGUCUUCAACACCUUACCUCUCUCAAAAAAUUUUACAUCAAUAAUUUUCGUAGGCUCCAAUGUUUGACGAAAGAGAGACUGCCUACACCCCUUUCAUUGCUUAAAAUACAAAAAUGCUUUUUGCUGGAACAUCGGUGCGAAUUUGGAAAAGGCGACGAUUGGUGUCAUAUAGCUCACAUUGGAUGUGUGGUGAUAGAUGAUGUGCUAUUCUGAUGAAGGUGAAACUGCAUGAAUCCGAGGUCUAGUGCUUGUUCUAUACUCAAAAUAAGUUUCUUAAAAAUUAGAUGAUUAUAAAUGACUAUUGGUGUCUUUCAGGUUUAGGCUGUGCUUCACUCUCAUUAUGGUACUGAUUGUAGCUUCUGACCGGGCCAUACAUGCUAAUGAUAGAAUAAACUAAAUAGCAAUACAGAAGUGAAUUUUUAUGUAUUCUUUUUGGGAUCAAUUGUGAUUAUGAAUCCAUAGCUGUACCUCUGCAAAUUUCUGAUCAAUUCAGCCAUGUUUUCUUUUCUUUUAUUUAUUUUUAUAUGGUAACAGUCUGAAUUCUCUGACCAUAUAUUGACUAAUUUACUCAUACCCACUCCUUUCAGUUUCAUAUAUGAUCUUAUGAAAUGUGUUAACACCUAAGUAUUUGUCCAACUGUUGUGUCUUUUGCAAAUACCUUUCACUUUCGCCAGCCUUAUAAAUCCUACUUGUUCAAAGGUGUUUCCUUUUCUUCCUUGCUCACUGUAUGGAUAUCAUUACUUUGCUGCUUAUCAAAUGGAUCAUUAGUUUUCUCAAGAAAAACAACACCUGUAAUGCUGCAGCUGUUUUCAUGGCUGGUCUGGUUCCUGAAGCUUACUUUUUGUAUGUUCAAAGUAAGGAUUUAAUUAUUAUGAUGCUCCUUGAAGUGGAAGGUGGAAUUAGGAAGAUGUGUCUGUUGUAAUGGCUGUGACAUAAUUGCUACUAAAAUUUAGAGAUACCAUGCCUUUCCAUUCUAUAUUACUGAAACAGAAUUGGGCAAAUUUUACAGAGGUGGCUCUGUUUGGUUUUGGCAGGCUGCACUCACUAGGAGUCAACCACCUUCAAAAGACAAGCCAGUUUAAAUUAAAGUCUUUGUGGUUUACCUUCUGAACUUGUUUCUUCCCCGAUUUUGAUGUCAUUUUCUUCUUGGUUUGGUCUUUCUUGGGUAUCAACUCUGACCAGGAAUUUUUGACGAAACGGAAACUGGCAGUCUCCCUCUCAUAUCUGACUUUCAAGUUGCUGUUCUUCUCUGCAAGAACAGUCCCAAUUCAGGAAAGGGAAAGACUGGCAUUAUAUAGGUCAUAUUCCACACAGAGAGAUAUUCUGUUGUUUUUGUUUUGUUUACAUGUCCUUGAAUUGAGAACCUUCUUAUGCUGCUCAUUGGCAGAGUUGCAAUUGCCAUGCCUUCAGUUCUAUCAGUGACCAUGGGCAUUGCUUCUCAUUGUUUGUCUCAGCAAGAUUCAAAAGCACAUCCAACGGGCAUUAAUUAUAUUUUACUUUUUUUUUUUCCUAUUUUCCAUUGUAAAAUCAAACAUGAAAAAAAAUCAUGUUCAUUAGCUUUUUUUCUUUUGUACUUUUCUAGAACAAAACAUAACAUUAGAAUUUCAUCAUAACUAUGUUGAUAACGAUUAGCAAUAUUGUAUUUCAUUAGAAUUUAAUUAUGGAGUUCGAUGUUCCAAUUAUCGAAGUAAGCAUAACAAUACAUAUUAUUAUUUUAUUAAAGAGUGCAUAGCAAAGAAGGGAAUCUAAUUGAAAUUUGCAAAGCCUUGUAUGAUCAAAUUAUUGAUAUUUUUACAAAGUCUUUUAAGUUUAAUAAUUUAGAAGGCUUAGAAUUCUACUUGGAGUUCCAAAUCAAGUUUAGAGAGAGGGUUGAAAAAUGACAAUGAGCUUUUAGAAAGAUUUCAAUAAUUGGAUUUGAUUUGAUUUCAAAAAGAAAUAUACAAUAAAUUUUUUUGAUUGUUUAGAAUUUAAUUAUAGAGUUUGAUGUUCCAAUUAUUGAAGUAAACAUUAUAGUUGUAGACCCUCUAUUCUGUCCUCCUAACACAUGUCCUUUACAACAAUUCCCUGAUGACCCAUUAAUACUUGCGUAGCCUAUCUUUUCUAAGCCACAUCGGGGACUUCGGUUGAGGGAUUCAUUUAACCCUAUCGUGACUCUUGGUAGCCCUAAUUUAGACUUAGGCUCAUUUAAGCACUUUAGGUUCACUUAGAUCCACUUAAGCACUUUAGGUUCACUUAGAUAUACUUGGGCACCACCCUAGGCCCACUUAGACCCUUUAGGUCCAUUAGGCACCACACCCUAGGCCCACUUAGGCACACUUAGGCCCAUUAGGCACCGUCAUUGGUCCACUUAGACCCUAUAGGUCCAUUAGAUAUACCCGAGGCCCAUUAGACAUUCUUUGCAUGACUUGAAUUGCUCACAUGAUUGCAUGGUUGCAUAGAUUUCAUGACACUUUACUAUUAUUAUUAUUAUUAUCAUUAUUUACUUAAUUAUUUUGUUAAUUUAAUUUGUUUAUUUAUUUUAUAAUUUUCUAAAACACCUUGAGAUUCAUUUAUUAAGUCUACUUUUCUUUAUGUUUUUGUAGAGAAACUCACCAAAGGAAUAAUCACUAGAGAGAAAAAGGAAGGUUGAAAACGUGUAUUGGCAAGGAUAUUCAUGCGUGAGUCUUUCGGGAAAUAGAGGAUAUUCAGUAAAAAAAAAAUAAAAUUAAAAAGAGGAAUUUUCAUGUGUGAUUAUGGAAAGGAAAUAUUCAGCAGGUUGAAGGAUGGAUUCAAGGUGGUUGGAAGAGGAGAGGAUGUAUGGAAGGAAAUGAACUAAGAAGGAAAGCAAGUAUGCACCCAUGCAUGUGCUGAUUGUGCUUCUGAUGGAAGGAAAUGAAUGAAGAAAGAAAAUUACCAAAGCUGUUUUGGCAUGGGAAAAGGAAAGGUUCAAUGUGUAUUUGGACGGAAUGAAGACUAUGUUCAGGAAGGAGAGUCCUGAUGAUGCUGGACUGACGUGGAUGAUUGAGGCUCUCCGGGCUGGUGAGUUGUCUUCCCAUGUUGGCGGAGUACUCAAAGAGAUGAGGUGAGAUUAAAGAGAGGAAAAGGAGUGGUGGUUUUGGGGGAAAAAAAGGGAGAUACAUGACUGUUGAUGCCUCGCGUCCCAGGGAUCCACGUAGCUGCCAAGUGGACGCGCGUCUUCAACCAAGAUUGAGUUCUGGCUCAGUUGACCUUGCAAAAGAUGUCCGGACAGGGUGUUCGGACACACCCUCCGAUGGUUUUGUUAGCCAUGGCUUUAGAGAUUAAACUGUUGGCCUUUUUUCAGGGAUAGCAAGCUUACCUUCUUCCUUGUGUGAAGGUCCUUUUAUAUAGUGUCAGAAGCUUUGCCUCCCUCUUUAAUGGGGGGAAGACUUUUUGGCUUGUCAUGAUGUCCUCAAGGUGGUGGCAAGGCCAUCAUCACCCUGUAGGCAACUGUCAGAGAUCGUGGGAGGUGACUUGUCAUCGCUCCUGUUCUUUCGCUCUGUAGGCGGCGAAACGUGGGCUGUGGCAGGCUGUCGGGGAUGACUCAGCAAGGCUUGCUUGCUACAGUCAAUGAUCCAGAUAAUAGGCCUGGGUAGGAUAGAGCAUCGCCCGGGUAUGAUAUCUGAGAGUGCUGUGUGCCUCUCCUGGGGAGUCCAGAUAGGGGCGCGCCACGUGUCCUCUUGGGGAGUCCGGAUGGAGUUGCUCCGGAUAGCGAUGGGCGCCACGUGUUAUCAGGGGGAGGGGUCCCUACAAUGCCCCCCUUUUAACCUGUCGAUUUUACCCAGGCAGAAUGGGCGGGUUAAAAAUGAUUGUUUUUGAAACUUAGGUUUGCUUUUUGCACUCAUUGGGCCACAUGGUGCGCGGAGGCGAAAAGAUGACUUAGGAAUGCGUCAGGCAACCUGAGAAGACUUGGGAAUGUCUUGUCGAGCACAUCUUGCAUUAAAGAUGAGUGACAGUUCAGGAGACUUGGUCGUCAGCAUUGUCGGAGUUUGCUUUUUGAUUGUGGGCGGAAAUGGAUCCGGCGAAUCGCGAGUAUCUGACGAGCCAAGCUAUCCGGGGAAUCUGAAUCGUUAGCCACAGAUGUUCUCUGGGUAGGCACUACCAGAGGAUCCGGAUGUUAUCAGGCAGCAGGAUCCGGACGUGAGAUAUCCGGAGAAGGCAGAACGUCGGCCGGAUCCAGAUGUGGUGGGAUGUCGACGGAUCCGGAUGUGAGAUAUCCGGAGAAGACGGAACAUCGGCGGAUCUAGAUGUGGGAUACCCCGGAGAAGGCGGAACAUCGGCCGGAUCCGGAUGUGGUGGGAUGUUGGUCGGACAGAAUUCCUCCCUCGGGUGGAAUGAGCUAUGAUUCCCGUCCGGGUGGAAUGAGCGAUGCCCCGCGUCGCAAGGGAGACGUCCGUGUGUCCUUUUGUUGUUAUGCGGCCAUCCGGAUGGAUGCUGCCUCUCUAGCCUCAUCCGCCCAAUUCAAGUGCCUUGCAAUCUCAUCGCCUUCAUUUCUUUGACCUUGGACGGCAUUCCGGGCUGUGGGCAUACCCAUUUCAGUUGGGAUGAUGACAUCUGUUCCGUAUGCGAGGGCAAACGGGGUGUUCCCUAUCGUCAUUCCGGGUAGCUCUUCUAUCCACUUUCCUUUGGCUUUUUCCAACUGUUUCUUCAACGCACUUAGCAAGGUUUUAUUGGUCGCUUCCGCUUGACCGUUGCUCUGAGGAUACCGCGGUGUGGAAUACAGGUUUUUUGAUGUAAAGUUUCGUGUAAAAAUCUUUAAAGGCAGAGCCAUCAAACUGAGGGCCGUUGUCAGCUAUGAUCGCCCGAGGGAUACCAAAUCGACAUACUAUGUUUUUCCAGACGAACCUUUUGACGUCCUUGUCCUUGAUGCUUGCAUAGGCUUCAGCCUCCACCCACUUGCUGAAAUAAUCGGUAGCAACGAGUAGAAACUUCUUCUGAGCGGCUUGCACAUUAUCUCCCCUUGGGAUUUUCUCAAUGGCCCACUCUCACAGCCGGCUGAGUGACUCUUGUACUUUCAGUAAGUAUUUGGCCAUGCGCUCGUCUCCUUGGCCUCGUAUUCUUCUUGUAUUUGCCCCACGACGAGUUGGGAGUUGCUAUGGAUUUUGACUUUUGAGGCAUUUAGGGUGGUUGCAAGGCCCAAUCCGAAUAGGAUGACCUCAUAUUCAGCUUCAUUGUUUGAGGCGGGAAAAUCCAGACGGAUGGAUUGCUCCAGCAGUUCUCUGGUUGGCGUUUUGAGGAGGAGUCCGACUCCUGAUCCGGAUGGGCGGGAGACCCCGUCAACAUGCAGACACCAUCAAUCAUCCAGAGUCGAUUCUUUGUCCGCCGUGUUGGGACGUCAUUUGUUUUAUCCGGGAUUGGACCGGAGUAUUUUUGUCUCUGGUGCCAAAGCGACCCAGUUUUUGGCUUUGGUGCCAAAGUGACCCAGAGUGACGUCCCCAGGAUUCGAACUUGGGUGGUGACAAGGCUGUGCUCUGGUGCCCGGCCGUACCACCGAACUGUGCCAGACGGGGGCAUCACAGUCAGAAUGGGCCAGGGGCAGAGUGGCCUCCGUGUAUGUAGUUGAUUACUGUCUUAACAAGAGCCGCUGGGGCGCGUGGGCCUCGAUCAUGGGAAGAUCCUUCACCUUUAGGCGCUGUUCGGACAUACUGCUUCAACUGUCCCGCCUUUAAGAUAUCCUCCACCAUGUAAUGAAGGUUUCUACACGUUUCAAUGUUGUGCCCAUUAUCUUUAUGGUAAUCACAUCUUUUGUUGCGGUCCCUUUCUGAGGGGUUCAAUCUCAUUGGUACUAGCCAUCUGAAGCCAGGCAGAUCGCGGAUUAUAGGAAGCAGUUUUUCGUACGACUUGGUGAGAGGUGUCUGAAUGAGUGGAGAGCGGAUUAUAGGAGGGGUUGUGUGCGAGGGAUCUUUGCAGACCCGCGUCACAGGGGGGCGAGCGGCAUGUCCCUGUAAAGUAGGCGAGAUUGAAGGCUCGGAGUGUGCCUUCAGUGAUAUGGUGGUAUGAGACCUGUUUUUGCAGAGUGUUUAGGGUCCCAGACGCAAGCGCGUUGCGUCAGAUAUUUGAGGCCUUUUCUCACGUUGUCGCUUGGAUGAGACUCAAGUAGAGCCUGAACUUUCGUCUCGUCGGACAUGGUGAGCGUGCACUGGGGUUUCAUUAGGCCAUGCUUCAUGCGCCUUGAGGGUUGGGCUCGCCUCUCGGGGGAGUGGGACUUCCUGGUUGCAACAAGGAUCCUGCCUCCGCUGAUAAUGCUGAGGUUGGGAAGAGCUUUGGAUCCUCAAGACAUUGUUUUCUUCCCUGAGUUUUCUUGUUUCUUGGAGCAGAAUUUGCAUCUGCCGUUCAUUUUCUCAUUGUCGUCUUUCCAUGUCACUUCGCCAUUCGAAGUAACCUUUGUCACCUCUGGCGGAAGAGUGACUCCUUGAGGAUGAAGUCAUCUUUACAGUUGGAAGGUACAGGAUUUACUGAGAAGAAAAGAUGUUCCCAUAAACGGCGCCAAUGUUGAUGCCUAGCGUCCUAGGGAUCCACGUAGCUGCCAAGUGGAUGCGCGCCUUCAACCAAGAUUGAGUUCUGGCUCAGUUGACCUUGCAAAAGAUGUUCGGACAGGGUGUCCGGACACACCCUCCGAUGGUUUUGUUAGCCAUGGCUCUAGAGAUUAAGCUGUUGGCCUUUUUUCAGGGAUAUCAAGCUUACCUUCUUCCUCGUGUGAAGGUCCUUUUAUAUAGUGUCAGAAGCUCUGCCUCCCUCUUUAAUGGGGGGAAGACUUUUUGGCUUGUCAUGAUGUCCUCAAGGUGGUGGCAGGGCCAUCAUCACCCUGCAGGCGGCUGUUAGAGAUCGUGGGAGGUGACUUGCCAUCGCUCCUGUCCUUUCGCUCUACAGGCGGCAGAACGUGGGCUGUGGCAGGCUGUCGGGGAUGACUCAGCAAGGCUUGCUUGCUACAGUCAAUGAUCUGGAUAAUAGGCCCGGGUAGGAUAGAGCAUUGCCCGGGUAUGAUAUCUGAGAGUGUCGUGUGCCUCCCCUGGGGAGUCCGGAUAGGGGCGCGCCACGUGUCCUCUUGGGGAGUUCGGAUGGAGUUGCUCCGGAUAGCGAUGGGCGCCACGUGUUAUCAGGGGGAGGGGUCCCUACAGUGACUAUUAGUUGAUUCACCGGAAAUUCACCCGCGUUGGGGAAGGCGUGUAGAGACUGACCUUGCUGAAUCUUGAAGGAGUAGUAGUCGCAAGAUUCUGAAGAUGGAGGGCCGCAUCAUCCUUAGCGGGAAAAAGGUUGUUUGAAGGGAUAAAAAAAAUAGAGAGUUUUGAGAGUGUAAGAGAGGUGCAAGGUGCAGCCGCACUCUUUAGGAAUUCUUUUGGAACAACCACAUCUUUGAGGAACUUUCAACAUCACCCACACCUUUGAGAGAACUUUUGGAACAACCACAUCUUUGAGGAACGACCAGCUGCACCCUUCUUAGGACACUUUCAGUAUAGAUCAGAAGAGAGGGUGACACCAAAUGGGAAGGAGAUCAGCAGCCGCACUAUUGAGAGGACAAUUUCUGAAUCAGCCGCACUGUUGAGAGGACUUCCGGAGCAGCUGCACCAUUGGAAGAAAGGAAACAUUCAGCCGUGCUCCUAGGCUUCAAAGACCACCAAGAAGAAGUCUUCAGCUACGGUGCAUGGGCAGCCACCACACCAUGCAUCCUUCGCAACGAUUCUUUUAAAAUAAAAAAAUAGAAAUCCUACUAGUGGAAAGUGACCUACACGUUUCGGAAAAGGUGAAUUUAUUCUUCCUAUUUCAAUUUUGAUUCAUGAAAUAUUCAGUUCAAUGCAUAAUUGUUUUAGAGUUUUAUCUAUUUAGUUUAAUUAUUUCUAAUAUCAAUAUAUUUUUUGAUGACAAUUUAUUAUUUUUAAAAUUAUUCCCAUUCAAUCUUUGUAUUUUAAAUUUUUAUUGUAAAUUCAUGUUUAGCUUAGAUGUUAAUCUUUAAUUUAUUUUUUUUAAUUUUUCUUAUCUAAAAUAAAUUAAUUAUUGAUUCAUUAUUCUAGCUUGAAGAUUAUGAUUUUUGUUUAAUGUAGUUACAAUUUAUUAUUCUUAGUUUGACAAUAUAGAUUUUUUAAAUAUUGGUUUGGGCAAUUUCUGUUGAUAAUGGAAAGGUUAGGAUUUUUUAAGAGUUUGAGCAAUUCAUGAUGAUGGUUUAAAAUUUAGAAUUUUGAUUAGCAUUAUUAUUAUUAUUUUUUUUCUCAAUUAGGAAAUUCAUAAUUUUAUUUAAUUUAGUUUUAAUUUAUCUUUUAGUUUAGAUGUUAUUAAAAUUUUAGUUUAUUAUUUCAAUUGAUUCCAUGCCACUUUUUUCAUAUCCAAAGGUUGUUAAUUUUAAUUCAUGAUUUAUCCUUUUAGUUUUAGAAUUUAAGUUGGUUAAUUUAUUUUGUUUUGUGUUGAUAUAUUCAUGUUUUAAUAAAUAAAUAACUAAAUAUAUAUAUACUCUAGUUUUGAUUGAUCUUGUUUUAGUUGAUAUUUUUAGAAUUUUAAUUAUUAUUAUUAUUAUUUAUUUAUUUUUUGUGGAAUUAUUAUUAUAUUGUAUUGUUUAACUAACAUCACUAGCUCCAGCUGAAUCUCUUUAAAUAUGGCAACAUUUAACUUUUAUAUAUAUGGGUUUGCACGUUACAGCGAAGGUUUGAUUGGUUUUAGUGGAAUUAUUAUUAUAUUGUGUGAUUUGACUUUAUUUACUAACUCCAUGCAUUUUUUGUUUUAAUAUGGCAACAUGCGAAUUGUGUUUAGGGUUAGUUUUUGAUUUAUUAUAUUAAAUUCGGAAAAUAUAUUUUUUUAUGUAGUUUUGCUUUAAGAAAAAAAAAAUAUAAUUUGAUUUUUAUUUAAUUUAGUUUUGAUUCAUUUAAUUAUUAGUUGUUAUUUAUUUAUUUGCUACUAAUAUAAUGCUUUGUAACUUAUUUAUUUAUUUAUUAAUGAGAUUGAACCUAUGGGUUAAAAAUUUAGUUUAAAAUAAAAAUAAAAAAAUCUAUUGAAGGUGGUUUGAAUUGGCUUUAAUUUUUAAUUCAUUUUAAGCUUAGAUUUCAUCUUUAUAACGUAAGUUUAUUUAGAAAAUUGAUUCCAUUAAUUCAUGUUUUUUUUAUAUUAAUUAUAUCAUUUAUUUAUGUGUUGUCUAUUUAUCUAUAUGUCAAUAAAAUUAAUUCUAUAGGUUAGAGAUCUCAUUUUAAAAUAUAAUAUGGUUAGUGUUUUUGUUUAACUUCAGGUUUAGGUGCUCUUGUAAAAUUUUUGUUUCUUAAAAUAAUUAAUAUUAAGUGUUAAAUAUUUGAUUUUAUACUUGCCUUUAUUAGUGUUAAAAAUAUAUAUAUUUUUUAAGCCUAGAUUUCAUUUUAAUAAUGUAAGUUUAUUUCGAAAUUAGAUUCCCUGAAUCCAUAUGUUGUUUUAGUUUCCUUUCGUUAAAUUGAUUCAUUUUAAUUAUUUUAGGAGUUUGUAUAAUUUUAGGUCAUUAAUAAAAUCAAUUCUAUAUUUGAAAAUUCAUGCCUUUAGUUUACUCUGAUUUAGUUUCACACAUUUAUUCGAUUUAGGUAUUUUAUAUAAGAUUAGUUCAUUAAUAAAGUUAAUUCUAUGUUUGAAAAUUAUUGUUUGCUUUGAUUUAAUUUGGCUCAUUUUUAUCAAUCUAGAUGCAUUUGUGUGUUUAAUUGAUCUCAUGCUAAUUCUUGAUUGUUAUUCUUAAUUGAUGUGUUUCUUGAAUAUUCGUUAUUAAUUCUUAGUGGGUAUCUCAUUAGCUUAUUUGAUCUAAGUUUGAAUAGUUUAUUGCUUUGGUAGUCUCUAGUAAAAUUUACUUUUCGGAAGCCAUCGGAAAAUAGUGAAGAUUGGUCUCCAUUCUCACCACUUCAAUUUUCUCGGUUAUCAAAAAUUUUACUUUGUGAUUUUGUUCUUUCUUUUUGUUUUGCUUGGUAUUUUGAUUCACACGUUUUAUUGUUUUCAAAUUAAUUUCUUUUAUUUUUAAAACAUAACACUAUUCUCAAAAGAUCCCUUUAAAAAUUCAUUUCAAAAAUUCAUUUAGAGUUCUUAGAAUCAAAAUCUCAUUCCCUUUAAAAAUCCAUUUAAAAAAUUCAUUUUCUCAAAUAAUGUGCAACCAUGUUUUGAUCGGUUUGCAUCUUUCUUAAAUUUCAAAUAAAAUUACAAUUUUGAGUAAGACAUUAAUCCAAGCUUGUGGUCCCAAAAAAAAAAGAAAAAAGGAUAAUUCUAGGCUAGAUUUAUGUAUAUCAAUCGAGGAAUUGGUGAAACCCUUACAUAAGGAAAAUUUUCAAAACUCAUCUUUGUUACCCCCUUUGCUAUUUGAGGAACUCAUGUCUAUCUAUUUUUUUUAGGAAUUAUAUAGAAGAUAUAAGUGAUAAUUGAUGGUUUCGUAUACUGUGAUAAUUUUUUUUUCUAUGCUAAUUAGAUAACAAGCACGUUACAAGUUAUCUAUGCUAUCCAGGUACGUCUCCUGUCACCUACCUUCUAAAUUCUGCAAAUAUGAUUGUGUAGACCCCCCCCUAGGGCUGCGAAGCAGGGAGGAGUUUCUUUGUUUUUUUUUUUUUUUUUUUUUUUCUCAGGCGGCUGAUGGGAGGUUGGCUCGAGCAGAGAAGUGCGGCUGAUGGGAGAGGCAGCAGGGAGGCUUGCGGGAGAAGCCAAAGGAAGCUAAAAAGAAAAGAGUUGAGGGAAGAAAGAGGGAGGAGAAAUUAGCAACUGAGAGGAACAGAGGGGAGGCGUAGCUGUUUUUAGAGAAGACGAGGGAGGAUCUCCAAGUAAGUUUAUCAUGGUUUUCCAGUCUUUUUCUUAUUAUCAUAAUUUAUCCAUUACUCUUCCUGCUACUUCUGGGUAUUGUUUGAUGGCUUGAGUGUGGAUACCUUCAUUGUUUGAUUUCUACUGAUUUUAUGGGAUGAAUGUGGAUUUAUUGUUAUAGCUUUUUGUCUCUCUUUCCUCUUGGGUUUUGCUAGAAGAUGACCUCACUAUGCUUCAAUUCCACUGUGAAAAUGCUUGAGAAUUGUGUUUUGUUCAUAUCGACAUGGAUUUUCCUACCUAGUUAGCAGGCUCACUGUCGACCCAUGAAGUGAAGCUUUAACUGAAAAUAUUUUAGCCUGUUCUCUUUGUGCUCUGUUUUCAUGCAUUCUUCAUUGUCGAGGCCGCUUCUAUUCUUGGAUCUUGUUCAUUAUGUGGGCUUUGAGAAGAGAAGUUUAGUUUGAGAGAGGAAUUUUGUUGGAAGGAAGAAUCAAGUUUGAGGACAGAGAGGGAAACAAGCUGAGAGACAUUCUUCAGGGGGGAGUUUCUGUUAGAGAGAGAGGCAGCUGCGUGAGGCUUUUUGAGUGCUACCUGGAGAUAUUUGCUGGGAUUCUGGCAGAGAGCGAGAAGGGAGGUUUCUGUUAGCUAGGGGGCAGUUUUUUUGCCUGAGGGCAAGUUGUAGGGAAGAGGGGGAGAGGAAGAAAAGGAAAACGGGUAGCAGCUGAGAGGAUUUGUGAGGAGAAUAGGAUGCACAGUUGAAUGACAUGCAGCCAUGGAACUCCGUGCCUUUGAUUUUGGUGUGCUUUAAUGGAGGAAUUAUUUUUUUAAUGAGAGAACUCACAUGUGGCUGUUCAAUGGCUGAAAUUUUUCAAAAAAAAAGUCAAUGAGUUAAAGUGGUUGUACAUGGAGAAAUUAAUGGUUGAAAUUCAAACGGGUGUACGUGGUGGGUUUUUGGAAAUUCAAUGAUGAAUAUUCAAGGCAUUUGAUAGUGCACAUCAACUAGUGAGUCGGCAAUCCGGAUGCAUAGUUUUUGGUUUGUUUUUAUUAAUUUCACUUGCUUUUCAUAUUUUAAUUUUUCUUUUAAUAGAAAAUUGUUCGAGUGACUUUGGUUUGCUUUUAAAGAUCGAUUUUAAAUUCUACUUUAAUGUUUAAUUCUUUAACUUCUUUUAAUUCAUCCUUAACAUUCCUAAUUUACUAAAAUCCAAUCUUAAUAAAUCAUUUGUUAUUGUAUUUCUUUUCCACUUAUGCAUGAAUUGCAUGGUCACCUUUUAGGCCACGUGUCACCUACUGUUUCAACAUCUUCGACUCAAACCCUCUUUUGUAAAUAAUUUUUAAAUUAUGUUUUUUUAAAUAAUCCUAAAAUCUAGUUUUUUUAAUUUUUUUUUUCUUUUUCAAAUAACUUCAAUUUUUUUUUAAUUUCAUCAUUAGAGUUUUUAGGUCCCGAAAAUCCGUUUUCCAAUAAAAUUCGUUGCCACUUUUCUUCGGCAUACAUUUUUCGUUACUUCCAUGCUUUUAAAAUAUUUUAAAAUAAGCAUAGAUUCAAUUCCGUAAUUCCGAAUAAUGGGGUUUAUGGAAUUAAUUCAUGCAAAAUAAACGGGCUUUGGUGGGGGCCCCACAUAUGUGAUUUAUGAUUGAUUAACUGAUUGAUUGAUUUAAUUUCCAUGCAUGAUUGAUUUAUUCUGCUCUAUGACAUGCUCGAAAUUAUUUCUUAAUUGUGCACUAACCUCUCUCUUGAUAGCGCAUGGUGGCUCGUCGCCCAGGUACGCACCUACUUUCACUCUGGUAAUUGUCCAAGCAUAUUUUGAUUCUCACGUGUGCAUGAUUUAUUCUGGGUACUCAUUGAUCUACUCGUCCAUUGCCAUGAUUGCUUCAUUUUAUUAGUAGAGACCCGUUUUUAGGGACUUAGAAGGGUGCUACGGUUUUUACUGUGCCUUCCUGAUAAGUAACCUGACCCCCGAACCCGAUUCGAUUUUUCACAGACCACCUUUUCCAAAGUAAGGAGUCACACUUAGGGUUUUUCUUUCUUAUUUUGUUUACCCCCUUAAAAAUAAAACAAAAAUAAGUGGCGACUCCAAGUCAUUUUCGAAUAAUCAAUAAAUCAUUUUUUUUCAAAAUGAAAAUCGAGCUCGCCUUCGAGUGGGAAACGCAUGAGCCGAAAUGCGAGGUCCACAAAAUGGCGACUCCGCUGGGGAUUUUUUUUAGAGGGUCAAGCUUGAACUUAGAGUGAAGCAAACGUGGCAUUUGAUUGGACGAUCAGUGGAUGCUCAUCUCUUGAUUGUACAUUGAGGAUUUCUUGAUGCAUGCUUAGAUGUCGUAUUCAUUUGAGAUUUUGACAUGCUGGAUUAUUGAUGAUUGAUCUUAUUGCAUUGCUUAGCGUAUUGAUUCUGAUUUUGGCAUAAUUGUUCUGAUCACUUCACAUGCAUACACUCACCAUUGUAUAUCACUUAUCUUGACAUGUUGAUUCUCUGACUUGUAUACUAUUUUGAUCGUCUUUGAGCGGGAUGUUUGUGUCACUAUUCGUCUUGAUUGUCGUAUUCUCGUUUAUCUUGUGUGUACAUGAUGAUAUACAUGAGCUUUGCCUGAUUGUAUGUUGCAUGACUGCCAUUUUUCUGUGUGAUUGCAUGUCGUCUGUCUAUGUGGGUCUCACUUCUAUCCCCCUACAUCCAACUCUCUUGGUUUCGGUCAUCCCUUUCAUCUCGGUUCUCACUAUUGCAAGUGUGAGACCUUAUGUGUGCUUGCUCCCUGACCGAGCCAGAGAUUAGGAGUAGGGUCUAGCGACGGGCUAUAUCGAUGUACGGGAGCAUUCCGGAGGAGGGCGACACUUUGAUGUCGAUUGGAGUCCGAUCAUUGAAGACCUGUAUAGCCCCAAGCUAGGUUUCAUGGAUAGUUGUGCGACCAGUGUGUUUCCUCUUCUGCUUUAGAUUCUUAGGUUUUUCGGAUGCACCCACACCAUUCACUGUGCACUUUAGUUGACCAUUGAGCGUUGAGAGUUUGAGAGGUUUCACCAUAGGAAACCCCCUGGGAUGUCGAGGUAGUGCAUGUGUGGAGGUGAUGACCACCUUGCAUGGAAGCACCCCGUCUUUUUUUUUUUAGGAAUGCAGAUGGUUGCGUACCGCCGGAGGGUACGAUCGCUUCUGCUAGGGAUCUUUUAAAGUCCACCUAUCUCCUUUUAGAGCCACCUUGACCUUAUAGUUUGAGCCUUAGACAUUUCAAUUAGGACUCCCUCCCUACACGUGGGUGCAUCCGUGGGCCUUCAGAGCCGGUUCAGUAGUAACAGGUUUGGUUACCUUAGCAGUAGUCUCUUAUAUAUCUGCUCAGGGUUGGAUAUCAGUUUGUUUGCUUCCAGGCUACCUUUUGACACAUUUGAUAGACAUUCUUUGUGAAGUUUCCCUUACCCCGCACCUUAUCUAGUAUUUUCACUAUUGUAGGAGUACCGAUACGUUCAGUCUGGGAUCGACUUCUUGGAUUAGAGUUGGGGGUAGAUUGAUCAGGGUAUCGGACCAGUUAGACCAGAGAUCAAAUCAGAGGGAUAUGGAUUCACAGAUAGUUACCGUCGAUCAGUUCGCUGAGGCCAUGGCUUCGAUUCAGGAGGCUAUAGCUAGCCUUGGCCGGAGGAUAGAUGGGCAACAGGCCCAGCAGGUCCCGCCCCCGGUUGGUGCCCAGUAUGACCCUACAGUGCCACCACCUCCUCCACCCAGUCAGUCAGCGCCACAGACCAUGCCGUUCACUCUGCAUAGUCAGAACGGGGUUGCCCCGCCUCCCAUCACCGUGCCCACCUCGACCUCAGAGGACCCACAUGCUCGCAUGGAUAGACUUGAGCAGGGUUUGAGACAGUUGAGGGCUUCAGACAGAGCCACUACUUGGGAGGGUUUUGAUGGAGUGUCGGUAGCUAGCUUGCCGGCUAAGUUUAGGAUGCCUGACAUUGAGAGGUAUACUGGCAUUGGUUGUCCACGCCUCCAUCUCCGAUUAUACAGCACCAUGAUGAGGGCUCAUGGACUGGACGAGCCUCAGAUGAUUACUCUUUUCCCACUAUCUUUAAGUGGGGCGGCCCAGCGUUGGUUUGCAUCUUUGGAGGCCUCGAGGCGCCGCACAUGGGACGACUUGGCCCAGGAGUUCCUACGACAGUUUUCGUUUAACACUGUCGUAGACGUAUCGAGGAGAGAGCUAGAGGCUCUUAGGCAGAGAUCGAACGAGUCAGUUUCUUCGUUCGUUUCCCGCUGGCGCGGGAAGAUAGCUGAGAUUAUCGAUAGAACAUCAGAGAGGGACCAGAUUCAGAUGGUUUUGAGGAGCCUGCAGCCGCGGAUCGCCAGACAUGUGGUAGGGGCCCCGUUCACAGAUUUUGGGUCUCUGGUUAUGGCUCUGUACGAUGUCGAGGACGGCAUCUCGAGAGGAUUAUGGACAGAUUCUUUCCCUAGUGAUAUUAAGGGGAAGAAGCCCUUCGUAGGAUCGAGGCCGACAGAUGUGAGCAUUAUCGGUUCUUCCAAUCAGAGGCCUCUCAGGCGCCAUCAGCUGAUCCCCUAGUUUCCCGAGCCUCAUUCGUCCUAUGCAUCUCAUCAGUAUAGGCCACGGGCACCUCGUCCAGCUUAUGAUCAGACAUAUACUCCGCAGACUCUGGCUUUGCCUUAUUAUGCCUCCCAGGGCAUUGAGAGACCCUCAGUUUCCUACACGGCUACAGGACAGCUAUGCUAUGCUGCUCAGUUCACUGCGAGACUCGUAGCGUCUUAUCCCCGACCCAGAGCUCAGCAGACUUCUGCUCCCUUUGCUUUGAGGGCGUAGAGGCAGUUCUCACAGAUAGGCAUGCCGUUGAGCCAGGCUCUUCGGAAGCUUACAGAGGCUGGGUUAUUGACUACUCUCACCCCUCGGCCGCCGCCUCAGCCGAUUCCACCUCAGUUCAGGAUGGAUCUACACUGUGCAUACCAUCAGGGGCCUGGACAUGAGACCGAUCGAUGCACCGCUUUGAGGCAUGCCGUUCAGGAUUUGAUCGACCAGGGUUUGGUACACUUGGGUCAGCUGAGUGUGACCACGAACCCGUUGCCUGCUCACACCACACAUGCAGUCCCUCCACCAGCCGAUGACAUUCAUUUCUUAGAGUUUGAUGAGAUCGAUGACCACAUCCACAUGCUGAGUGAUGAUGAUUCAGACCUAGAGCUCAUCAUGCCAAGUGUGAUUUAUGAGAUGAGUGGGGUGACACUGGGUCCUCGGACGCCUGCUCCAUUCCGAUUAGUGCCCGAGGCGGCAUCAGUGCAGGCUGCCACCGUUGAGCCAUUGAUUUUACCGCAUUACAGUGUCCGGACACCUUUCAUCUUGAUUCCGGAUGUUGAGGAGGUUCAGGCUCCGUGCGUUGAUGACUCUCAGACUCUGGACAUUCAGUAUGUUCUCCGAGGAGGCAGAGUGAUGCGACAGCCACCUCCCGCGGCAACUAGGCCAGUUGAGGGUACGUCCGCUCCUGAGGAGGUCAGAGCCGAGGACGAUGAGAUCUUGAGACAGUUGCAGAGCACUCAGGCUCGUAUUUCCAUUUGGAGCCUGUUGGCGUCCUCGAGCACUCAUCGUGAUGCUCUGAUUCGGGCUUUGAGCCAGAUCCGAGUCGAGACUACCACCUCCCCCCAGGAAUUGAUCCAUAUGAUGACGGCCGGCAGAGCCACUUGCAUCGUCUUUUCCGAUGAUGACUUGCCACCAGAGGGUUCAGACCAUACGUGUCCUCUCUAUAUAUCUGUUGGCUUUUCAGGUCGUUGAGUUCCAUCUAUCCUUCUGGACAAUGGCUCGACCCUGAACGUAUGUCCUCUGGCCACUGCCAUCGCUCUUGGAUACGCUCCUUCUGAUUUCAGUCCCUCAACUCAGACCGUCCGAGCUUAUGACAGUACUCGGAGGGAGGCAUGGGUACAUUGGAGAUCGAGUUGCUGAUUGGUCCAUCCACUUUUGUUGCCGUGUUUCAGGUUUUGAGGAUUCCUACAUCCUUUAACCUGCUUCUAGGCCGACCAUGGAUUCACCGAGCUGGAGCCAUUCCUUCUUCACUUCAUCAGAAAGUGAAGUUCAUCCAUGAUGGUCAGGUCGUCGUGGUACAGUCUGUGGGGGACAUGUUCAUUACUGCCGAGCCUAUGCUCGAGAUUAGUCACACUGAUGACGACAUUUUUCUGACUGGAUUCACUUUCGAUGAGGUGCAGACUGUGGAGAUAGAGAAUUUCUGUCGGGAUUUUGUGGCCAUGUCCUUUGACCAGCAUGGGAGCACAGUGGUGCUCGAUAUUAUGCGGAGCAUGUCCUAUCUACCCGGCAUGGGGUUGGGCCGAUGUCAGCAUGGACCGAGCGAGUUCAUCACCAUUCCUGAUCAUGACGUACCAUUUGGGCUUGGGUUCAUCCCCACCGAGGCUAACUAUCGAUACAUGGCGCGUUUGCGCAAGGAGAGAGUGAGGGCUCGGCUGACCCACACGCCUUUCGACUAUCCUUUUCGCCUAUACACCAGGAGCUUAUCUGAUUACUUUGUGAGGGCAUCGGAGUCACAUGUACCAUCUGAUGGGAUCAUUGGAGGACUCAGCACCACCUAGGAGGCCGAGCUUCAGCGCCUCGUCCAGCAGUUACAGUUGAGUGACGGAGCCCCUGGCCCUUCGGCUUCUGUGUUGAUUGCUCCUCCCUCCCCAGAUCGCACGAGCCUUAUGACGCUUUGCUUCCCGGAUGAGAUCGAUGAUCACGGGACUUUUGCCGAGAUUGGAGACGUAGUGGAUGGAGCCGUGCCGCGUGACGAGUACGUUGAUGAGAUGCUCGCGAUGAGCUUGAGCCAGACCGAGGAGAUAGCCCCGUCGGAGCUCGCUUCACCAUUUGAUCUCUUCGGGGUGUCCGUCCUCGAGAUCGCCUAGGAGAUCCAGGUUGCCCCCACUCCAGAGGUCGUCGAGGAUGUUAUAGUUGCUGUUGAUUUGUUUGAUGGCCCUGUUGGCCUAGUUGAGGGAGCGUCCGACCUUGUGGACCCACCUCUCACCUUUGAUGUUUUAUCGGGAUUUGUCUCCCGUCAUGACUAUGUUUCUGACUUUUCAUCUAUGGAUUUGAGCACCUUUGAGUAUUUGCCUGUCUCUCAUGUUAUUGAUUUAGCUGCACCAUCUUCACCCACAUCACAGUUUUUUGACAUUGAUGAUGAGAUUGCGCAGCACGACUCAGACGAUGACUCGUCUUCUGCUUCCGAUUCAGACCCCGUUGAUCAGAGAGUUUCACCUGCUGUAGGGGACACUGAGAUUGUUGACUUUGGCACGGUAGAUCAGCCUAGGGAGUUGAGGAUCGAAUCAGAUUUGUCUACAGAUGAGAGAGAUAGCCUCAUCCAGCUACUCAGAUCCUACUUGGACGUUUUCGCAUGGUCCUAUGAGGACAUGCCAGGCCUUGAUCCAUCUAUCGUCCAACAUCGUUUGCCACUUCUGCCCCAUGCCAGACCGGUUAAGCAGAAGUUGAGACGAUUGCACCCUCGUUGGAGCUUGCAGGUGAAAGAGAAGAUCCAGAAGCAACUCAGUGUAGGAUUCUUAUCAGUGGUUGAGUACCCAGAGUGGCUGGCAAAUGUCGUCCCUGUUCCCAAAAAGGACGGCAAGGUGAGAGUCUGUGUUGAUUUCCGAGAUCUCAACAAGGCCAGUCCUAAGGAUGAUUUUCCUCUUCCACACAUCGACAUGCUAGUUGACAAUACGGCAAGUCAUUCGAUGUUGUCCUUUAUGGACGGAUUUUUCGGGUACAGUCAGAUCUUGAUGGCUCCAGAGGACAUGGAGAAGACGUCCUUCAUUACCGAGUGGGGUAAUUAUUGCUAUAGAGUCAUGCCAUUCGGAUUGAAGAACGCAGGAGCCACCUAUCAGAGAGCAGCGACCACCCUCUUCCAUGACAUGAUGCAUUGGGAUGUCGAGGUUUAUGUAGACGACAUGAUAGUGAAAUCCUGAGGUAGAUCAGAUCAUUUAGCAGCUCUGGAGAGAUUCUUUGAGAGGAUCCGACAGUUCAGGUUGAGACUGAAUCCCAAGAAGUGCACUUUCGGAGUGACUUCUGGGAAACUCUUGGGAUACAUGGUCAGUGAGCGAGGCAUAGAGGUAGAUCCGGACAAGAUUAGAGCCAUUCUUGACAUGCCUGCGCCGAGGAUAGAGAGAGAGGUCAGAGGCUUCCUAGGCAGACUUCAGUACAUCAGUAGAUUCAUAGCCAGAUUGACAGACAUCUGCGAGCCCAUAUUUCGACUCUUGAGGAAGAGUCAACCUACUGUUUGGGAUGACUAGUGCCAGCGUGCCUUCGAGAGGAUCAGAGAGUACUUGUUGUCACCUCCUGUUUUGGCGCCUCCUACACCAGGUCGUCCUCUACUCUUAUACUUGUCCGUAUCAGACGUGGCCUUGGGUUGCAUGUUAGCUCAGCUCGAUGAUUCGGGCAAUGAUCGAGCCAUUUACUAUUUGAGUAAGAGGAUGUUAGACUACGAGACGAGGUAUGUCAUGAUUGAGCGUUAUUGUUUGGCAUUGGUUUGGGCCACUCGCCGGUUGAGACAUUACAUGACCGAGUAUUCCGUGCAUUUGAUAUCUCGCUUGGAUCCUCUGAGAUAUUUGUUUGAUAGACCCACUCUGGUUGGUCGCCUCAUGAGAUGGUUGGUACUUCUGACUGAGUUUGACAUCCAUUAUGUCACUCAGAAGUCCAUCAGAGGGAGCAUUGUAGCAGAUCAUCUAGCCUCAUUACCAGUUUCUGAUGCCAGAGCUAUUGACGAUGAUUUUCCAGACGAGGAUGUCGCUGCUGUGACUAGUCUGUCAGGUUGGCGCAUGUACUUUGAUGGUGCAGCCAACCAUUCUGGAUACGGGAUAGGCGUCCUGUUGAUAUCCCCUCAUGGUGAUCACAUUCCCAGAUCUGUUCGGUUGGCAUUCUUGGAUCGACAUCCUACCACGAACAACAUUGUUGAGUAUGAGGUUUGUAUCUUGGGAUUAGAGACAGCCCUCGAGCUCGGGAUUAGACAGAUGGAGGUGUUUGGUGACUCCAAUCUAGUGUUGAGACAGAUUCAGGGCGAGUGGAAGACUAGAGAUGUGAAACUUAGGCCUUAUCAUGCAUAUUUGGAGCUACUGGUUGGGAGAUUUGAUGAUUUGAGAUAUACCCAUCUGCUUAGAGCGCAGAACCAGUUUGCUGAUGCUUUAGCUACUCUAGCUUCCAUGAUCGAUAUUCCCGUUGACGCCACUGUUCGACCUUUGUUGAUCGAGUCGAGAUCUGCUCCUGCUUACUGUUGCCUGAUCGAUGAUGUAGAGCCAAAUGAUGGUUUGCCAUGGUAUCACGACAUAUAUCACUUUUUGAGACUCGGCGUAUAUCUUGAGGCCGCCACGGCCAAGGAUAAGAGAGCAUUGAGACAGUUGGCCACUCGAUUCGUGAUUUACGGCGAGACACUAUACAGGCGAUCACCUGACGGGAUGCUAUUAUUGUGUUUGGACCGCGCCUCUGCCGAUCGGGUGAUGAGAGAGGUUCAUGCGGGAGUCUGCGGACCACAUAUGGGAGGACAUAUGUUGGCUCGUAAGAUCAUGAGGACAGGAUACUUCUGGUUGACCAUGGAGACAGAUUGUUGCCAGUUUUUUCAGAGGUGUCCCGAGUAUCAGAUACACGGAGAUCUCAUUCACGUGCCGCCCUCCGAGCUGCACGCACUGACUUCACCAUGGCCAUUUUCCGUCUGGGGUAUUGAUAUCAUCAGGAAGAUUUCACUGAAAUCUUCCAGUGGUCAUGAGUUCAUCCUGGUCGCCAUCGAUUACUUCACCAAGUGGGUGGAGGCUGCCUCAUAUGCGAGAUUGACAUCAGCUGGAGUCGCUAGUUUCAUCAGAUCACACAUUAUCUGUCGCUAUGGAGUCCCUCAUGAGUUGAUUUCAGAUAAAGGAGUACAUUUCAGAGCAGAGGUUGACACAUUAGUACAGAGAUACAGCAUCCGGCAUCAUAGAUCGUCUGCGUACAGGCCGCAGACGAAUGGGGCAGUAGAGGCCGCGAAUAAGAAUAUCAAGAGGAUAUUACGGAGGAUGGUCGAGACUUCUCGGGAUUGGUCAGAGAAGCUCCCAUUUGCAUUGUGGGCUUAUCGGACUUCUUUUCGCACCUCUACAGGUGCCACACCCUACUCCUUGGUAUAUGGCAUGGAGGCGAUGCUACCUGUUGAGAUUGAGAUGGGUUCGUUGAGAGUAGCACUAGAGUAGCAGAUUCCCGAGGCAGAUUGGGCUCAGGCUCAAUUUGAUUAGCUCAAUCUCCUAGAUUAGAGGAGAUUGAGAGCAGCAGACCAUGUUCGUGCGUAUCAGAGGAAGAUGGCCCGCGCUUUCAAAAAGCGGGUCAGGCCUAGACCAUUACGGAUAGGUGACUUGGUUCUGAAAGUCAUCAGGGGAUUGAUCAGAGAUCCUAGAGGGAAGUUCAGACCCAAUUGGAGCGGACCUUAUUUCAUCAGGGAGUUGACCCCAGAAGGCGCUGCAUGGUUGAUGGAUUUAGAUGGAAACCGAUUCUCAGAGCCAACCAAUGUGGAUCAGCUAAAGAGGUACUAUGUUUGAGACCAUGGUCGCAGGAUGGGUGACCAUCAUUUCGGUUAGCCAUUACCUUGUUAUUUCUUUUGAUACAUAGUCCGUUGCUAGCCCAUUGAGCCUCGCAUACGCAUUAUAGCCUUUCUUUCUUAUCGCCUUGCUCACAUUUUCACACCGGGAUAGGGGCCCUUUAAUGUAUGCAUGCAUUGUUUGGUAGUUUCAUGAGCUUUGGACCUAGAGGCAUGUUUUUCUCAUUAUCUUUUUCUAUCACUGCACCUCUGCAUUUUCAUCUCAUCUUAUUGGUUAUGUUAUUCAUCUCUUCUUCCUUAUCCUAUCUAUUAUUUGUUUGUUUCAUAGUUCUCUUCACCCUGGGUGGUGAGCCUCCUCAGUUCAUCACAUGGAGGAUAGUCACAUCAUUUCCACCAUCUAUCUCACAGACAUUGGUUUAGAGAUCCUUAGUUUGAGAAAGUCAUCUCGUUAGAGAGAGUUUUGGGUUGCCUUAGCACUUGGGUCGGUGUCUGUCCGUUAUCGACAUCACCUUUGGGGUUCAUUUGUUCAUGUUCAGGGUAUGUGUAUUUGUAUAUAUGUAAAAAAAAAAAAAAAAAAAAAAAAAAAAAGAGAAAAGAGAAAAGAAAAGAAAGAAAAAAAUCAUUAUUAUUAUUAUUAGCACAUGUGUGUAUGUGCAUAGUGUUCUUGAUCAUUGGGUAUGUAUAUUGAUGUCUGGAGGUCAUUUUUAUCGAGUAUGUUCGUUAUUGGGAGUUCGUAUGUGAGCUCUCUGAGAUCCUAUGUUAUUUGUAUUGCUUCGUCAUAUCUAUUUGUGAGAGAGAUGAGUGACCUUCUCCUAAGGACUCCGAGUCAUUGUCCUUCCCAUCAUUACAUUCAUUAUUGAUGUGACUUCACUUCAUGUUUGAUCUGAGUCGAUCACUACCUUUCUUCACAUAUCCAUUGUUUCGCUGUCGUUUUUAUCGUUGCUUGUGAUUCAUCUCAUUCCCUUCACAUCUUAUUCUCCCCUUACAGCGACCCAUCUCGGGUUCGAUACUUCGCAUCAUCAUUACACAUAUCACUACCAGUUCAUUUUGCUUCAUUUGUCUCCUUAUCGAUAUCAUAUUCACGUUAGGCAUUCUCGGGUCCAUGGCUCAUGGGGUUCACUAUACAUGUUGCAUUUCAUAUAUGAGGGCAUGAGUUUUGAUCAUUGGGUAUUUGAGCCUAGUUUCCUUUCAUUUCUAUCACCCUAUCACCUUGGCCUACGUUACGUCCCGUGUCUUAAGACCACCCUGAGGCCAUGGGAUCAGAUGUCGUCUUCGACAGCCUCUACUUGGACAGGUGAUUGAGGUUUGGUUGAUGUUUAGAUAUCGCCAUGCUUCUUCUUCUGGGAGUCGCCUCUUUGAUGUGUAGGUCUGAUUCAGUUGUGUUCGGAUUACCAGGAUCGUGAGUUUGAUGAUGAUUGAUUUGGUGUCACCUGAUUUUUUGACCUAUCAUACCUCUGGUGCCACACUGGGGCAUAUCCCAUUUCAUUUGGAGGUUCAUGGAUCCUCACGGGCUUGCGCCAUCAUCACUUACUGGAUGCUCAUCGAGACGUGGACAUGAUCGUUACCUUACGGAGCCUCUGAGAUCCACCAAGCCAGGUCCGCACUUCUCGACACUUGGAUGCCAUCAUGCCUCUCCAUCUGGGAGAUACAUUUUGGAUAUGUGUGCAUGAUUCAGUUAUGGAUUCAGAUGACCAUUAUUACAUGUUCGAUGACAGAUGAUUUCUUGUCGCUUGAUUUCUGACCUGUCGUGCAUCCGAUGCCCAUACUGGGGCAUAUUUUCCGUUUCGGAUGAGAUUUACGGACGUUCAUAGAGGUCACAUGAGCGAUGAUGGAUGUUUUCAUGACAUUUGUUCUUCGGACCUGUCGCGCACCUGAUGCCAUACUGGGGCAUAUUUCGUUUCGGAUGAUCUUUAUGGAUCUUCGCAGAGGUCACAGGUUCGAGGAUAGAUGAUUCCAUGCUAUCUGAUCUCCGACCUAUCAUACAUUUCGAUGCCAUAUAGGGGCAUAUUUCGAUUCGGAUGAGAUUUACAGAUCAUGAGCGAGUCACGUGCUUAUCCUUAUUUGGCGAGAUGUAUGCAGAGAUGAUGAUAUAUUCGCUAUCCUCACGAUGAUUCCUUAGUGGAGCCUAUCGAGAGCCAUCUAGCCAGGCAGGGAUGACCUGAGCUCAUCUGAUUUUUCGACGUAUUGCAUUCUCGAUGCCACAUUGGGGCACAUUCCCCAUCUUGAUCGAGAUUUAUAGAUCCCCACUGGUUUACAUGAUCAUCCACGGUUAUGAGAUACACGCCAGGUCGAUGUUUGAUUUCAUUUUGUCCGGAUACUCCGAGGAGCCUCUCUUGAGUCAUUCAGCCAGGUUCAUACCCUUUGAUAUAGCCGUGAUUCCUGGAUGGAGUUGUCUCUGGUGCCUGGAUUUCCCACGUCAUCAUUCCAGAGGGGUACAUAUCAGAUCUGUUAUGCAUCCCAUUGGUGUUAUUCUCGGGUCAUCAAGACAGAUCGGGUACAUCUAAUGUCAUACUAGGGCAUAUUGCCUUCAUUUAGCCCUGGAGGCGAUCGUUCUCUCACAUAUCCGUUAUAGUUUCCAUCACUCGAUCGAGAUAUAUUGUAUUCGCCUCAUUGACCAUUAUUCCUGAGCUUUUCAUCGAUAUGAGCUCUUAGCGGAGCAUCGUUCGAGACUCGUAGAGUCCCUUUCAGCCAUUUCUAGCGGAUUGAGAUUUGCAGCGGCAUAUCACACUGGGGCAUACCCCCAUCCUUGAGUUUAUCAGGCCUUUUGUGUACUUCCUCACUACUCAAUCCAUUUCUUGAUCUUUGCGAGUCGUCAUACUGGGGCAUAUCCCCUCUAGCACUUUUCUACUGGGGCAUACCCCCUUUCUUUGGGUUUACCGUGUCUCGUGUUGAUUUCAUGGUUGUCGGACCCAUUUGUUGAUCUUUAUGAGUUAUCACAUAGGGCAUCCCCCUAUUGCCACUGUCUUUUCGUUUGGGGCAUCCCCCACUGUCUUUUACGUUUGGGGCAUCCCCCCACUGUCAUUUACGUUUGGGGCAUCCCCCACUGUCAUUUACAUUUGGGGCAUCCCCCCCCUGUCAUUUACGUUUGGGGCAUCCCCCCACUGUCAUUUACGUUUGGGGCAUCCCCCCACUGUCAUUUACGUUUGGGGCAUCCCCCCACUGUCAUUUACGUUUGGGGCAUCCCCCCACUGUCAUUUCGUUUGGGGCAUCCCCCCUACUGUCAUUUACAUUUGGGGCAUCUCCCCAUUGUUAUUUACGUUUGGGGCAUCCCUCUACUUUCAUUUCGUUUGGGGCAUCCCCCUACCGUCAUCUUGUUUAGGGCAUCCUCCUAUUUUUGGUCUGUUUAGGGCAUCCCCCUAUUUUCAGUUUGUUUAGGGCAUUCCCCUACCGUCAGUUCGCUUAGGGCAUUUCCCUUUGUUUUAGAUUUAUCACCACCGUAGGUCUUCACCUAUGGGCCUUAUCGUUUAGUGUUUAGAGUUAGCUUUUUGAUUAGGCUUCCAGAGCUAUUAUUUUUUCAGUUUGACGUUCAGAGUCACCAUCAUCACUUUUCAGUUUCGGCGUUCAGAGCCAUUAUCGGUUUUCAGCUCAAUAUUCAGAGUCAUCAUCAUCAUUUCUCAGCUCCGGCGUUCAGAGUCAUCAUCACUUUUAGGUUUCAGCGUUCAGAGCCAUCACCGUGUUUUCAGUUUCGGCGUUCAGAGCCAUCAUCGGUUUUCAGAUCGACAUUCAGAGUCGCAUCCUCGGUUUCGACGUUCAGAGUUGUUAUCACUUCUCAGUUUGACGUUCAUGGUCAUCGUCAUUACUUUUUAGUUUCGGCGUUCAGAGCCAUCAUCGGUUUUCAGAUCGACAUUCAGAGUCGCAUCCUCAGUUUCGACGUUCAGAGUCUUCAUCACUUCUCAGUUUUGGCGUUCAGAGCCAUCAUCGCUUUUCAGUUUUGGCGUUCAGAGCCAUCACUAUUUUCAGUUUUGGCGUUCAGAGCAAUCAUCGCUUUUCAGUUUUGGUGUUCAGAGCCAUCACUAUUUUCAGUUUGGCGUUUAGAGCCAUCAUCACUAUUUUCAGUUUUGGCGUUUAGAGCCAUCAUCGCUUUUCAGUUUGGCGUUCAGAGCCAUCAUCGCUUUUCAGUUUUGGCGUUCAGAGCCAUCACUAUUUUCAGUUUUGGCAUUCAGAGCCAUCAUCGCUUUUCAGUUUUGGCAUUCAGAGCCAUCAUUGCUUUUCAGUUUUGGUGUUCAGAGCCAUCACUAUUUUCAGUUUGGCGUUCAGAGCCAUCAUCACUAUUUUCAGUGUGGCGUUCAGAGCCAUCAUCGCUUAUCAGUUUUGGCGUUCAAAGCCAUCACUAUUUUCAGUUUUGGCGUUCAGAGCCAUCAUCACUAUUUUCAGUUUGGCGUUCAGAGCCAUCAUCACUAUUUUUCAGUGUGGCGUUCAGAGCCAUCAUCGCUUCUCAGUUUUGGCAUUCAUAGCCAUCACUAUUUUCGGUUUAGGCUUCCAGAGCCAUUACCGUCAUCUUGCUUAGGCUUCCAGAGCCAUUACCGUCAUCUUGCUUAGGCUUCCAGAGCCAUUACCGUCAUCUUGUUUAGGCUUCCAGAGCCAUUUCCGUCAUCUUGUUUAGACUUUCAGAGUCAUUACCGUCGUCUUAUUUAGGCUUCCAGAGCCAUCACUAUCAUCUCGUUUAGGCUUCCAGAGCCAUCACUGUCGUCUUGUUUAGGCUUCCAGAGCCAUCACUGUCGUCUGGUUUAGGCUUCCAGAGCCAUCACUGUCGUCUUGUUUAGGCUUCCAGAACUGUUAUUUUCUAGUUUAGUUUUUAGAGUUAGUUUUUGGUUAGGCUUCUAGAGCUGUUACCUUCUAGUUUAGCUUUUAAAGUUAGUUUUUGGUUAGGCUUCCAGAGCUGUUAUUUUCUAGUUUAGCUUUUAGAGUUAGUUUUUGGUUUGGCUUCUAGAGCUGUUAGUUUCUAGUUUAGCUUUUAGAGUUAGUUUUUUGUUAGGCUUCCAGAGCUGUUAUUUUCUAGUUUAGCUCUUAGAGUUAGUUUUUUUGGUUAGGCUUCCAGAGCCAUUACUGUCGUCUCGUUUAGGCUUCCAGAGCCAUCACUGUCGUCUUGUUUAGGCUUCCAGAGCCAUCACUGUCGUCUUAUUUAGGCUUCCAGAGCCAUCAUUGUCGUCUUGUUUAGGCUUCCAGAGCUGUUAUUUUCUAGUUUAGCUUUUAGAGUUAGUUUUUGGUUUGGCUUCUAGAGCUGUUAUUUCAUAGUUUAGCUUUUAGGGUUAGUCUUUUGGUUUGGCUUCCAGAGCUUUUAUUUUCUUGGUUUAGUGUUUAGAGUUAGCUUUUUGGUUUGACUUCCAGAGCUUUUAUUUUCUCAGUUUAGUGCUUAGAGUCGGUUUUGUCAUCCAGAGUCACAACUCCUGGCGUUCAUGUCCACUGGCAUUGCGCAUCUUACCUUCAGGGUUUUGCAUUCGUCCUCGGCUUUCCUCACUUCGUUAUUCUAUGCUUAUCGCCUAUUCAUCUCGUAGUCCACAUAGGAUAGUCCCCUUUGGGCGCAUUCUUGCUCGUACUCCAAGGUGGUUCGACCGUUACUCAUCUUUGACAUUGAUCUCUUGGGUCACUUUUGGAGACAUCUUAGAGAGAGUGUGGAUCCUUGGUGCAACCUGUGAGGCGUUUUGAGAUGCGCUUUUCUUUUAGGGUUAGGGCCUUUGUGUUCAUCUGUUGGCUUGAGUGAGUUCUUAUUUUACUAGUGUCCUUUUGGGGGUCUCUUUUGUUCUUCGAUAGAGUUCACUUCGUUACACUCACUAUUCACGCUUUCUUUUCAUUCCAGUAUUCAUAUUCCUUGCACUCGUGAACUCUACCGAAGAGGGGCAUAUUUUUUUUUUCUAUGCUAAUUAGAUAACAAGCACGUUACAAGUUAUCUAUGCUAUCCAGGUACGUCUCCUGUCACCUACCUUCUAAAUUCUGCAAAUAUGAUUGCCAUUAUGAAUUAUACCUAUAUUUGAGAAUGCUUGUGAUGUCUUGAUAUUUGCUACAUUGUUUGAUCAUUCAUGAUAAAACGCAUGCUGAGUGAUAUAUUAUCUAAACUAACCAUAGAUGUUUUAUGAUAGCGCUUAAGAAGUGGUCCAGGUACACAUUCUAACUUUCCUUUAUGAGCGUGAUUGGUUUUUCUUGUUUGGCAUGCUAGUUUUGAGAUCACCUUAGCCUACCUAGGUACCCUCAAUUAAUCAGUUGAUUGCCACAUUUCCUUCAACGUAGUCAGUAAAGACCUUUGUAGGGCUUAGAGGAGUGCUAUCUCCUAGAGGUACCUUCCCAAUAAGUAACCAGAUCCCCGGACCUAAACUUUGGAUUUUCAAAGACAUGCUUUUCCAAAAACUAUGGAGUCAUUUUUUAGGGUUUUAUUUCUUGUUUUAUUUUCCCUUUAAAAUAAAAUAAAAUAAGUGGUGACUCCGACUUUUCCAAAAACAACAUCUUCACCAAAUAAAAGCGAGUCUCGCCAAUUGAGUGGGGGCACACGUGAAAAAUGCGGGUCCACAAUAGUGCAUGUAAUUAUUUUAUUAGAGAGUGCAUAGCAAAGAAGGGAAUCUAAUUGAAAUUUGCAAAGUCUUGUAUGAUCAAAUUAUUGAUAUUUUUACUAAGUCUCUUAAGCCCAAAAUUUUUGUCAAUACGAAUGUUCGUCGAUAGUAAAGUUGGAGACUUGCUUCUAAUUCAUAUUCUUGCACAGUCCGUUCAAAGUAAUGUCACCCCAAAUCUUUCAAAAUCAUUUCUAUGUUUCCUUUGAUAGUUACUUGUCAACAAAAAUGGGCCGAGGAAAAAAGAUAGUUGAUAGAAAAUACUAGUUUCUUAAAUUUGGCUUAUGAUGUAAAUAUAUCUAACUGAUUUAUCGUGUAUAGAUGAUGACAUAUUAUUGACAUAGAACCAAUUCUAAUAUAUUAUUGAAAGGUCCCUAUCAAUAUUCAUCCAAUGGAAAUUGAAUCUAAGAUUUUGUUAGUUAUAAGUUGACAAUGGCUUUUAAACUCUCCAUGAUUCCUUGAAAUUCAUCUUAGAUAGGAAACUAUAAAGGGCCAUGACAUGGAAAGAUUCAUGUUCUUUGUGUUGGAUGAGGGGAAGCUUUAUUAAUGGAGGAAUGUAGACUAAAACUAUCUGUAUAAAGGUACACAAGGUUUUAAUGUGGUUCAGUCAAUCAUGCCUACCUCUACAAAUAGAAAAUAUUACAAAAGACAGAAAUAAAUAUAAUUAUUGAGCCUUGAAACAUCCCACUUUUUCAAUUUCAUCUUUCUCUCUUAACUUUUUCCGCUCAUAAUCUAGAAUAUUUAUAAAGAUAUUCUUACUACCUUUCUUUUUUUAUUUUACAAGGAAUCUAAUUACAAUUACAUAUUAAUUUAGAAAAUAUUUUAUGUAUAUUCUUUUUAUAAAAAGAAAUAUAUUUCAAUUAGAAAUUUGAGAUACCUCCCAACAAUCUCUACCUUGAACUAAGUUAACUUUUCAUCUUUCCAUUAUAUAUGGUUUAACAAAAAAAAAAAAAAAAUACCACUUGUGCACCUCACAGUCUAUGUGUGUCACCAUCUCCUUCAUGCACCAAAAUUCCCUUCAUGCACCAUGGUCUUAUUGUGUGUUACAUUUCUCUUGUUUCUUGUAUCACAUUAUGAUGAGAGAAUAAUUAAUUCCCCCUUAACAAAAAUUCUCUUUGUAAUCCUCUUUUGUGCUAUGUUCUUUACUCUUCUUAAAAUCUUUAAACAAAGGCUUGUUCAUACAUCCACAACCAAGGUUCUUCCAAGUAUCUUUAACCAAGGUUCUUUCGGACAUCUUCAACCAAAACUCUUCUCGACAUCUUGAAUUAAGGGACUAAUACCACUUGUUAUGUGAGUAGAAACUCUAAUGUAAACAUAUUAUUUUUUAUGUGUUUUUAUUUAUUUAUUUUUAUUUAUUUUUUAUUUAUCAUAUUUUAUAACAAACUUGGACUCAACCCUAGCUCAUCUGUCUUUUCCUAUCUCGGUUCUUGUAUCUACCUGAGAAUCAAUGUUUACCUGCCCCUUAAUUUUUUUUUAUUCUUUAUUUAAAAUUUUUUUAGGUGUUGGUGGAUCAUUUUUUUUUUGGGUUGGUGAGUCAAUUAUUAUUAUUUCUUUUUUUAUGUGGUUUAGUCAUCUGUGUUUAUUAUUUGAACAGGCUGUUUUGGUAAACCAUUGGGCUGUUUUGUCAUUUUGGAUGAAGCUUCCUAAAAGGUCAAUGCAGUGGAUUUAAAGCCAUGCUUUGCUUAUUGUGAUUGGUGAGAGAUUAUUGAAUGUAAAUUAAAGUUCACUUAUUGACUGGGCAGGCUAACCUAGACUAUAAAGAUGCAUGCCAUGUUGCUCUUUUGGAAGAAGGUCAUUGCAGGCCAUGGGGGUGCGUCCCUCUUGCUAAAUCAUUUUUCAAAAUCUAUGCAAAUUUCUGCACCUUUAUAUCCACAACCACAAUAUAUACUUGUUGAAGCCUCUAGCUACACUUUCUCACAUGUCCUGCUAGCCCUACUCAAAUAUUCCACACAUGUACUGCUCGGCCAUUUGCCCAGUGCGCUACCGGCCGGAAUGGGUAAAACUGAUGCUAGUUUUGUAUUGGGCAAGAUCUUUCCAUUGCCCAAUACAAAACCAGCAUCAGUGUUACCUAUUCCACUAGCGAACUGGCCAACUGCCCCAGCGGUGCAUGUAUGGGAUAUUUGAGUACCCAGCAGGACACGUGAGAAAGUGUAGCUAGAGGCUUCAACAAGCAUAUAUUGUGGAUACAAAGGUGUAGAAAUUUGAUAGAUUUUUAAAAAAAUGUUUUGACAAGAAAAUUAAAUGCACCGUUCCAGACCUUGGAAACAGUUGGUGUUUCAGAUGCCUCCCAACAUCACUUGUUGGAUACUUGCAAAGAGCUUUAUUUUUAAUAUACUUGCUAACUUAUUAUGAAUUCGUGCUUAGGGACAUGUUUUAUGCACUUCAAAUUUUGUUCUUGUUGAAGAAGCCAGGGAAGGGCUCAUGGCAUACCUCAUGUUUGGUUAGUUCUUAACCAUUUCCUGUUUCUUUUCUGCUUUUUUUUUUUUUUUUUUCUUAUCUACUUUCUUGGCUACCAAAAGGAGAUUUACUGUUACAAAAUUAUAUCCUAAUAAGUUGCACUUUUUUUCUCCGCAACCAAGAAAUGCUAGGUUACAGCAAAUAAGUAAGAGAAUACCCAGAAGCAAGGAAAAACUCUUUGAAAUCAAUGGCAUCGGCAAGUAAGUUAUUGGAUCUGGUUUGCUUGCAAUGAAUUGGUAAACCAUCUAUAUGGAAUGGAGAUGUGGGCUCAUUCAGGGAAAAGGUAAGGAGAUAGAGUGUUGGAAACAAUUGAAUCUACCAUCAGGAAUACCGACAAAAGAAGCAGUGGUAGUAAUGACAGUACUGAUACCAUCAACCGGAGAAGAGAGUCUGCUAAGUUUUUGGAUGCAAAUCCAGAAGAGGAUGAUGACUUCACCACGCACUGAUCGGUCCAAGGGAAGGGCAACAGAAAGGCACAACAAAGGUGUUGAGGGUUUGAUACAGGAGAGACAGACUAUUCCAUUUAUGAUGUUGCCAUUAAUGGAACAGCUUUAAAGGUUGAUAAGGGACGCAUGGAACAAGAAGAGCAAUGCCUUCAUGGCCAACACAGGAAGGGUAGACAUAUUAUUGCCAUAAUUUAAACUUUUGCAUCCCUAAGAAAGCAAUCCCUUUUGUAAGCCAUUCAUAAUUGAAGCAUAGAAUCAAUAUUAUAUUGAUUGAAUAUAACAGAAGAUAAAUUGUUGUCUUGUACAAUUUUGCAUUAGAAAAGCUUAUUUUCUGACACGCUUGCAGUUCAUUUUUUUUUUUUUUUUUUUGUGAUUUUGUACUUUAUUUUCCUCUCAUUUAGAACAUAACAUGAUAGAAGGGAAGACUAAGGGUGGUGGCUGCGGCUAUGGUGUUGGUAUUGUUCUUCUCAUUUAUAACACAAGCCCUGUGAUGAACCGCAGGAAUGCUGCAUCUGCCUCUCUGCCUAUGAGGAUGGAACUGAGAGCUGCGCGAGCUCCCUUGCUGUCAUGCCACCUGCCCUCUCUGCAAGCUGAAGUGGGCGUGAAGAAGGAUAAAAAAAAAAAAACCAUAAACUCUUUCAAAGUAGAGAUUCAUUUAGCAUCGAUCUGUGUUGUGUGUAAGGUUUGUGCAGAUUAACUGCUGGCAUCAACUUAUUUGUAAUACAAGUAAUGAAAAAGAAGAUGAAAAAAAAAGAGAGCUCAGAUGCGUGACUUCUCAUCAGCUCAAAUUACUCAUCACUGCCCCUACUCCUUAAUAGGCCCUGCCAUCAGCUCGGACCCUGGUCCAACCCAAGGGCAAGGCACCAGUAAACCACUUGACUCUCAUGUGUUUGGUGCUAUUGGUUGAUCCUUUUUCUCUUUAUUGUGAUGGUCUUGAUUUUAACAUAAGAGACAAAGAAACGGAAUUAUGUUUGCCUUUUUUGUUUCUUUUUUUGCCAUUUAUUCUAUUUCCAAUUGGGUGGUACAUGAGGGUAGGGCAACCCAAUUGGAUUCUUGGUGUGGUAGAUAAUAUUUUUAAUACUUAUUGGGCUUAGGUAAGUUUUGUUUAUCCAAAGGAAUUAACAUUUUUAUAAUAUUUCUAAGUUUAUUAUCUUAUUUAUAUAAUAAUAUUUAUUUUUAUCUAUUUUAAAAUUGUUUAAAAAAUUACAAAAUUAUAAUUAUAUUAUUUAUUAUAUAUAUUUUUAUUAUUUUAAAAUAUUAUCUUAUUCAUUAUUCAAAUUUUGAUAUAAAUAUAUAAGAAAAAAUUAUAAAAAUAUACAUUCAAUCCAUCUUGACUUAAUGAAUUAAAAUCUUAUCAAUUCUAACUUACAAAAGUGAGAUUAAGUUGAAUAUGAAUUGAACAUCUCGAUACUAAGAUUAAAUUGAACGAUAUUGUAUAUGAGGUGUUUUUAAUCCAAUCCAAUUUCUUCUCUCUCAACCACUACAUCUAUCUUUUGAUCAUGAGAUAUUUUUUUUGACUCCCCUUGUGUAAUUUGGGUUGAGAUGGUUGUGUUAAAGUAAGAAUUCACAUUGUAAUUUCUUUAAAAUUUCAUUAAAAUUAUUUUACAAGAGAAUGGAAAAGUUGCUCAAAUGUUUAAAAUUCAAUUUGAUUGAAUUAAUUUAUUUAGUUUAGAAAGUUAUAAAAUAAUGUGUAAAUUGUAUCUUAAUACUGUGGAAAAUAUCAUUGAAGUGUCCUUGAAUAUCUAGGGAUUAUGGUAUUCAGGUAAUUUGUAGUGAAAGUAACAAAAAAACAAAAAAAGAUUUGGAAGUGUAUAGAGAAAUAUAUAAAACUUAACGAUUCAGCACAACCCUGUUAAUCAUCAAUUCUAUUAACUUUGGCCAAGCUACUUGAAUACUACUCAACCAUUCAGCUCUAUCUAGAGCUAUAUCCUUUAUUUUUAACUUUUUGAAAUCAUGGUUCUUCUCAAGUAAUUUUUUCAACUUAUCAAUUUUGGUCAUACUCUCACCCGCAAUAAGCAUAUCUUCACAACAUAUUAGCAAAUAAAUAAAGUUUCCAUCAAAUAAUUUGCUAAUAUAAACAUAAUGAUCAAAUUAAAAUUUGAUGUUAUUCUUCCUAACCAUAAAUUGAUCAAAUUGCUUGUAUCAUUUUGGGGGAUUGCUUCAAAUCAUAUGAUAAUUUAGAAAAUUUACAAACAAAUUGUUCUUUUUUGGGUUCUUUAAAACCCUUCAAUUGAGACAAGUAUUUCUCUUCAUAUAAAUCACCAUGGAAAAAUGCAAUUUUAACAUCUAAUUGAAACAACUACAUAUCAUACUAAGUAAACAAGAAGAGCUAACAAUAAUCUAAUAGAAGAAUGUUUAACAACAUGAGAAAACACUUCAUUAUAGUUAAUGCCUUUUUAUUUUGCAUACCUUUUUGCAACCAAUGACAAUACUGAUACCAUCAAGAGAAAAGAAUCUGAAGUUCUCCUUUUUACAAGCUACGAGAUUCAAAUAUGUGGCUUAUCUAAAUGCUAAAUUAAUUUGUGAUUCAAGCAAUGAAAUCACAACAAUCUUGCUUUCAUUAAUUUUGAAGAAAAAUAGAAGAUUGUCAUAAAAUUCCUUUUGGAGUGGAGAUUUAUGAUCACUGGCAUGCUAGACUAGCUCGUUGAAUGCAUUUCAAUCCAAACAAUUGUUUCAUUUUAUUUGUAAUUAGCUAUGUAUGUAAGUCAUGUUAAGCCUUUUCAACGAGUCUAUGUAUGGAUUGAAGCAUACGUAAUUAUAGAGGGAUUCUGUUCUAUGUUACAUCUUUGAUACUAAACAAACUUUUAAUAGGUGUUUUUGAUUUAUAUGAUUAAAUUUAAAUUACUAAAAGAUGUUAAGGAAUGAAAUUUAAGCAUUAAAAAAUAAGACCGAUAUAUAUAUAUAUUAUUUUCCUUUUUAAACUCUUUAUUUGAAAAGCUUGUUCCUUGGCAAGUUUUUUGAAGUUCAAAUUUUGGUGGUUUUAUAUUUCAUUUUUAUUUAUUUAUUCAAAACACAUCACAAUAGAAGGGAAGAUGAAGGAUUGUGGAUAUGGUUAAGGAGUUGGUAUCAAUGUACUUUUGAUAGUGUUCUUAACGUUAGGCCAAGUAUUCUUGCUUUGUUCCCCUUCCCUUUAGUUGUCAUUUUAUUGAUUCAAUUAGUUUAAUUCCUAAGUACAAGAAUCUCAUGUGUAUAAUACUCAUAGACAUUUUGAUGACAUUUUCCACAACAUUACCAUACAAUUUACACAUUGUUUUACAAUAGUCUCAAUAAAAUGACAAUUUCACCACCCAUCUGUUCCUCUCCCUCUUUUCUUCAUCUUUGCUAACAAAAUGAACUGCUUGGUCUACCUCUUUGUCCAAUCAUGGGAUCAGAUACUUAUCUUUGGCAUACAAUAUGGGCUAUUGGGUCUACCACUUUGUCUUGUCAAUUAUUAUUCAAUCAAUGAUGCAAAGUUUUUUUUUAGUUUAUUUAUUUACUUAUUUUAUAAUCAUUUUUACAAGCCAUAUGAUUUAAGGUUAUGUUUCACUUGGCCAAAGUAUUAAGAAAAGAAAAGAAAAUAUUAAGAAAAAUAAUUUUUCUUAUGCUUGAUUAUAUUAUGAAAAAUAUAAAAAAAUAAUUAGAUAUAAUUAAAAUUUAUGUAUUUUAAAAUUAUUUAAUCUUUAUAUAUAAAAGUUAAAAUAAGUAAAAUGGGUUUAAAGUAUAAUAUAGAAAUAGUUGAUUAAAUUUAAAUUUUUUUAUUUUCUUUUUUAUUUUCUAUUUUUCCCCUCAUUUUCUUUCAAAUCUUCUGAGAACCAAAUAUAACCUAAAUAUUUGGCUUACCUCAAUAUCGAAAAAGUUAGUGAUAAGUUAGUAAUUCAAGUACUAGAUCUGAUACUUCCCUUUGCAACAAUCCCAUUUUCAUUUUGAAGAAAUUACUUAUUAAACUGUAGACCCUCCAUUUUGCAUGUCCUCCUAGCACAUGUCCUAUUAGGUAUUGAUUCUGUAUUUUACAGCAAUUCCCUGGUGGCCCAUUACUACUCAUGUAGAUUAUCUUUUCUAAGCCAUCUUGGAAACUUUAGUUGAGGGAUUUAUCAAACUCCAUUGUGACUCUUGAUAACCCUAAUUUAGACUUAGGCUCACUUAGGUGCCCUAGACCCACUUAGGCACCUUAGGUCCACUUAGGCGCCCUAGGCCCACUUAGGUGCCUUAGGCCCACUUAGGCACCUUAGGCCCACUUAGGCACCUUAGGUCCAUUUAGGCACCCUAGGCCCAUUUGGGAACCCUAAACCCUUUUGGGAACCCUAGGCCCACUUAGGCACCCUAGGCCCAUUUAGGCACCCUAGGCCCAUUUAGGCUCCCAAGACCCAUUUAGGCACCCUAGGCCCAUUUAAGCACCUUGGGCACAUUUAGGCACCCUAGACCCACUUAAGCACUUUAGACCCAUUUAGGCACCCUGGGCACAUUUAGACAUCCUAGACCCACUUACGCACCCUAGGCCCAUUUAGGCACCUUGAGCACAUUUAGGCACCCUAGACUCACUUAGGCACUUUAGGCUCAUUUAGGCACCCUAGGCCCAUUUAGGCACUCUAGGCCCACUUAGGCAUCCUAGGCCCAUUUGAGACACCCUAGGCCCAUUUAAGCACCCUAGGCCCAUUUAGGCACCCUAGGCAUAUUUAGGCACCUUAGGCCCACUUAGGUACCCGACUCAUUUAGGCACCCUUGGCCCAUUUAGGCACCCUAAAUCUUCUACAUGAUUGUGAUUGGUUUUCUUGAUUAGACAUUCCAUUUUUUUGAAAUCACUUAGCCUACUUAGAUAUCUAUAAUUAACCAAUUAAUUGUCACAUUUCCCUUAACUUAGUCAGUAAAGACCUUUAUAGGGCUUAGAGGGGUGCUACCUCUUAGAGGUACCUUCCCAAUAAAUAACCUGAUCCCUAGACCUAGACUUGGGUUUUUCAAAUAUAUGCUUUUCCAAAAACUAUGGGGUCAUUUUUUAGGAUUUUAUUUCUUGUUUUAUUUUCCUUUUAAAAUAAAAUAAAAUAAAAUAAGUGGUGACUCCGACUUUUCUAAAACUAAUUUUUCACAAAUAAAAAGCGAGUCUUGCCGAUCGAGUGGGGACGCACGUGAAAAAUGCAGGUCCACAUAAACUUUAAAACAUUGCCAUGAUAUUCCGUCCAACAAAGGCUAACCACUUACAUGCUAUUUUCCCUCAUUUCAAUUCAUAUGAUUGCUUCAUUCUAUUUGUCCUUAAAUAAAUAAAUUAUAAAUACACGUCUAAGUAUGGAUUGCAAGAUAUAAAAUUGUAAAAAAUAAAAAAAUUAUAUUACAUCUUUGAUACUUUACGAAUUUUUAAUAUAAGAUCUUAAUCUAUAUCAAUAAAUAUAAUUAUUGAAAGGUGAGAAAAAAAAAUUAUGGACAAAGAAAUGAGAUUAAACUAUAAAAAAAUUUAACCAUGGUUACAAUGUGAAUAAAUGGGAUGUAUAGUCUUAUAGUUAAUAUUGAACAGUUACUUUUGGUAUCAUAGAAAAAUCUAAUCAUGUGACAACCGCAUCACUCCUUAAUGGACUUUUUUUUUUUUACAUGUAGCUACUUUUUUUUUUUUUUUUUUACCUUUUUGAAUUCUUUCACUUCUUUUGAGAAAAGCCAAGUACAUGGGCCCUUAAGUUGAAAAAUGAAUUCACUCUUAUAUUUCUACAUUGUUAUAAUUUUCCAUAAAAAUGAUCCACCAAAUAAAGUUAAAAUUUCCCUAGCCACCAUUCCUUUAUUUUAUAAAUAAAUUUGGGAAUACAAGAUAAAACUAUUAUAAGGUAUAAAUAAAUGUGACUAAUGUACUCAUGUGACCAAUAUCUAAUUUUUAUUUUGAUAUAAUUGAUAAAUCUAACCAUAAGUCAAUGAAAAUAAUAGUUUUUCUUGACCCUUUAAUUGCACUCCCUUAAUAUUUCAAAACUCUUUUACAUCUAAUGCUCUUAUUCUUUCUUUUUUCUUUUUUUUUUUUUUCCCUUUUUCCCUUUGUUUUCUUUUUUCUUUUUUGAAUUCUUUCACUUCUUUAUGAAAAGGGAAUGUACCUAGAACAUUAGGUUGAAAAAUAAGUCAUGACAUGUCUAUCUUUUCACAUUGUUCUAAUUUUCCAUAGAAAUAAUCCAACAAAUACAUUUAAAUUUCAAAUACGCAUACAAUUAGAAGAAGGGAAGAUGAAGGGUGGUGGCUAAUUGACCAUGGCUAUGGAGUUGGUAUUAAUGUUCCUAUGAUAAUGUUCUCUAGCUAAAGCCAAGUAUUUUUGUCUUGUUCCCCUUUCCUUUAAUUGUCAUUUUAUUGAUUCGAUUAGUGUAAUUACCCGAGUACAAGAAUAUCAUGUGUAUACUCAAAGAUACUUUAAUGACAUUUGCAACAACUUUACCAUUCAUAUGGUUAAUAUUGAACCAUUAUCUUUUGAUGUCAUAGAAAAAUCUAUCCAUGUGAUAACCAUCAAUGUAAAUAAUAGUUUUAAUUCCUUUACCUCUUAGUGGACUCUUUUACAUCUAGCUACUUCUAUUCUUUUUCCUUUUGCUUUUUACACAUACACACACACACACACACACACACACACACAUAUAUAUAUAUAUAUAUAUAAUUAAAUGAGGAUGCACAUGGGCCCUUAGAUUGAAAAAUGAGACAUGGCUUGCCUAUUUUUUCACAUUGUUAAAAUUUUCCAUGAAAAAAAUCUAUCAAAUAACUAAAAAUUUCAAUUCUAAUGCAACUUAACCUUAUUUUUCUAAACUUGAGUUGAGUUUAGGUUGGUCAAAUUGAUCAAGUGGUAUGAUUCAAAAUCUAUUCAUAAUGUUUUUUAAAAACUUAUUUUUUUUCUAUAUAUUCAUGCCAAACUUUAAAUAGAAAUGAAACAAAAUUUCAAGCAGUAGUAAAAAAAUAAAAAAUUAUAUAAUAUAAUUAUAAUUUGAUAUCGUUUCUUAAAAAUCUAUAAAAAAAAAUUAUUAUAUAAAUUAAUAUACAUUAUUAAUAUGUUAAAAUAUUAAAUCAUGUUUGAGUUACAAUUAGAUUGUCCAAACCUUGAUUCAAAUUGAAAAAACUUAACCUAAACCUAACCAAGUGUUGAAAAUGAUUGUCUAAAUUCACCCAAAUAUUGGAUUGGGUAAAACUAUCUUGUCCAAAUUGCACCCUUAUAUUUAGUGAUCAUAUUUCCCUUUUUUCUUCCUAAAUUCUUUGAUGGACCAUUCUUCAUUCCUUUUUGCCUUUUCUCUUUUUUGAAUUAUUUCACUUCUUUUAUGAAAAGCUAAUGCACAUGGGCCCUUAGCUUGAAAAAUAAGUCAUGACCCCUAUCUUUCUACAUUGUUAUAAUUUUCCAUGAAAAUGAUUACAAAUGAGUUAAAAUUCCAACUCCAAUCCAAUCUUAUUUUCCUAAUCUCGUAUUGGAUUUGAAUUAAUUAAGUUGUAUGAUUCAAAGUCCAUUCACAAUGUUUUCUAAAAGUUUUUUUUUUUUAAUAUUUAUACAAAAAUUUAAAUAGUAAAAUAAAAUUUUAAAACAGUAAUAAAAAAUUAGAAAUAAAUUUACAUAUAUUUCAAAAAAUGAAAAAUUACAUGAUAUAAUUAUAAUUUGAUAUUUGUUUUAAAAAUAUAAACAAUAAAUAUUAUUAUAUAAAAAAUAUAUAUUAUUAAUAUUAUAAAAUAUUAAAUUAGGUUGGUUUCAUGCUCGUAAUGUCCGAACCAUGAAGGAAUACUUGAAGACGGACAAAACUAGCAAAUACUAUAUGUCAAGAGGAGGAGAAAGCCUACCAAAUUUUUGGUUGCACCUAUCUCAAUUCAAAAUGUUGUGGACUACAAAUGAGUUUAUAAAAGAAAAUGAAAAUCAACUCAAAAGGUUUGAAUGCUAAGAUCCUAAAUUCCAAGGAAGUUUAUUUGAUGCGACCAACUUACUUUUGGAUGACAACUGAUUCAUGCCCAAUUGGUGUCUCAGCUGAUUUGUGUUCAGCUGGUGCUCCUUGAUUGAGGAAGUGAUCAACAAAAUUUAUACCUAUAACACCAUACACUAGGGUAGCAAAUAAAAAGCUACUAUAGUAUAGUGGCUCUAGGAUCGUUCACUGGGAAUGAUUAACAAGCAAUCAAGGAUACCAAUUCCAAGUGAAUUGGUCUUGUUUCAUUUCACGGUUAGCUUAAGAAAUAAAACACAAACUUUGAUUGGUAAAGGUUGAGACUUAAACUAACUAAUCUUAACAGAAGUUUGGAAUAAUUUAGGAAGAAAAGCAUUCCUUGGAGAUUUAGGUUCACUGGGGUGGUUCCUCAUGCAAAAGACAUAGCUUCGGUCAGAUGGUUCAUUUCCUCGCAUUAGAGAUUCAACUUAGAGUCAAUUCUCCAACCGGUGAUGUACAGAGACUCCUUCAAUUAGAUUUCACUUUAAUUCUCUCACUGAUGCAACUUGCAAUGGUUUUAGCCUCUCACCAAGCCUUAGCCAUUCAAGGUGAUCUUUAACCUUGGAUUACCCGUCAAAAGCUCGCAAGAGAUAACUAAUGGAUGUCUCCUAGGAGUCCAAAAGCUUAUCAAGUGUUGGCUAUUCUAGAAAAUCCUACCCUGAAGUCACCUCCCAGAGGCUCGCAAGGGGUAAACUAGUGCAUUUCCAUGGUUGGAAAUCACUUGCCUUACCAAGUGUUGGCCCAGGUGACUCCAAGGUGUUUUAAGUUAACUAAAAACAUUGAAAUCACUAAAGGAUUUCACUUCCUUUUCAUUACUAGCUAAAACCACAGAGCUUUGCAUUCUUGCACUUGGAACCUUCCCCGGCAACCUUAGCUCCAAGGAAUUGGAGGUUUAGUUACUCAUUCUCUGGGGAAAACUCCUCAGAGAAUUCAUAACUUAUAAAUAAAAUGAAAAUACAAAGUGAGAAGGUAAGGCAGUAGAAAGAAAAGACCUUUACUUGCUUACCCAAACGUUUACAGAAGGAACUCCUCUCUGAGAACAGGCUCCCGAGAGGCAUAUAUAUCAAACCAAUAUAAAACUAAUUGUUACAAAGAUAUUUGGUCUUUUUACUAACUUAAAAACUAAGGAAUCAUGUAAUUGGUGGUUUACAAGGAGUAUUUUGGGAUUUAGACACAAAAUCUAAUGGAAAAUAUCUCCCAAUGUCGGUNNNNNNNNNNNNNNNNNNNNNNNNNNNNNNNNNNNNNNNNNNNNNNNNNNNNNNNNNNNNNNNNNNNNNNNNNNNNNNNNNNNNNNNNNNNNNNNNNNNNAAAGUGGCUGCUACGACUGUCAUCAAGAAUAGGCUUCAUGGCAGAUUCUCUUUGCUUUUUCUCCUUGCAAUCCGAAUUCACUCUGGGAAAAUGAGUUCUAAGCUUUGCCCAAGAUUCCUCAUAGCUCUCCUCAUUCUUGACUUGCUUUGGUGAUCAAAAUACUAACAAAAACACCAAAACUUACACAAAGUGAUCAAAAUUGCUUUAAAGGAUCCUUAACAUGCCAAUUGAGUUAAAAGGCCUAAACUACUACUCAAAAGUGUUUAAAAGGAUUAAUUAUAGGCUAUCAAAUAGCACUUUUUGAGUAGUAAUCACUCCCCCCAACCGACAUAUUGCUAGUCCCUUAGCAAUAUAGGAGGGAAAAUUAAAAAUAAAUAGCAAACUAAUUUAAAAUUUACAACAUCAUGCUGAAAGGAAAAUAAUUCUCAAGUGGCAUGAUGAUCUAUUUCUCACAUGAAUCAUUAAAGAAAUACAAACCCAAAUCUCAACAAGAGUCAUAACAACUAUGCUAAACACUGUCAAUCAAGGGAGUGCAUUAUGCAAACUGAAGUUUUAAAAUCAUUUCCACUUUCUAAGAAUCAAACUUUAGUCUUCCACAAAAGUCUAUGUGUAUUGGCUCCUUAGGUUCCGAGAAUAAUAUGCUAAACUAGUUUCACCCCCCAACCUAUCUCUUUUCAACACUUUAGCAAACUGACCAAAAUCAAUAAGAAAAGAACACACUUUCAUCAUUUUUUUUUUUCUAGGGCAGCUUUAUGGGGUACUCUUUCUGACUUGUCCAUGUAAUGGGGGUCCAUCGAUGACUCCCAACCAAUUAAGGUUUAGGGCACCAAGCUUUAAGGAUCUUUCAACCACAACUCGGAUUUUUCCCCGGACUUUUAAGAAUGAAUUUCUAAUACCCAAGCAUCUACCAUAUGCUAACUCUACCUAUUCACCCAUAUAACGAGCAUUGAGGUCGGUGACUCCCAACCAAUUAAGGCUUAGGGCACCAGGCUUUAAAGAUUUUCACCAUAUACCCCUCAGACCUUGCUCGGGUUUCAAGGCAAGCAAACAACUUUCUUUAUUUCAAAGGCUCAUUGGCCUUUUGCAGGGUGUUUCAAUUUUUAUCAAAUGAGGUCAAAAUUAUACUAAGUCAAGAGGGAAAUAGCUUUUCAUCUUAUAAUCGGAAUCUAAUGUGCACAGUGUGUGGAUAGCUUAAAGUGGAAGAACUAAAUUCAAUUUCAGUAGAAGUUUCAACAAUUGAACCACUUUAGUAAGCAUAAUCCAUACUCUAAGUCAAGUGAAAAACAACAGUUCAAUUUCUCUUGGUUUAAUUUGAAAAUUUUCCUCAAAAUUCAUGGAGAAUAGAGUAACAAAAGUAAAAAGUAAAAAUUACAACUAAUUAACCAAUAUAUUUGCAAUACCAAAAAGAUUUAGCAUACUUCCUUCCUCAUACCCCCCAACCGAACUGAGCAUUGUCCUCAAUGUGAUUUGAGUGACUGUAAUAAAAGGGAGGAAGUGGUACCUCCAUGCUGAUAUCAAAUUCGAAUAUUGAUUGGGGAAAACCACAUGUUUCAAAAAGAAUAGAAUAUGUGAGAAAAGGAAAUAAGGAGAACUUAAUGCUAACUUUUAACAAGAAAUAUUCAACUUGUAUUACUUUGAGUUCAUUUGAUUACAAUGCUAAAGACAAGUAACACAAGGAAUCCCAUAUAUAGUACCAAAAUACUGGGAUUUCAUUUCAACUAAAAAACAAACAAUCAUAAAAACAUAAACAGCAAAUAUAUAUAAUGUCUGAUGAGUGAGGUGAUGGUGCUAGGCAGAAGGAUCUGCCUCCUCAGUAGGUGGAUCAGCUGGGGCUUCGGGCUCUGGAGGAUGAGCCUCUGAAGGCUGAGAGUGUGGCUCUGGUGGAGUAGAAAUGGAGGGCUCUACAGCUUGUGGCAGAUCGAAAUGGACUUGGAGCUGCCUUAGGAUGGCAGCUUGUUGAGCCUGAGAGGCUAACAUCUGCUCCUGGCAUGCUUUAAUGGCUGCCAACUCCUGAGCAAGAUUGCUCUGAGAAGCUGUAAGAGUCUCCAAUGCACGGCACAACUCUCGAUAUUCAGAUAUAGGGAUGGCCAUCCUCGGCUCAGCUGAUGUGGAUGGCUGUGAUGAAGCAGGUGCAGCUAGUGGAGCUCUAGGGAUGGCAGGAGUGGCAACUGUUAUAUCUUCAGGUGCAUGUCUUGGGGAGGCUCUCCUUGCAGCUGGUUGAGGUUGCCCAGGCUGAUCAACUUUGUAGGCCGUCAUAUUAUUCCAUUUAUCAAGAGUAAAUGGCUCACGACAUAUUCUCUUUUUCUCCAGCUGAGGCUCAGCCGGGUAUCCUAGAUGUUCCAAAAUUUGGCAUAGCAGCCGUGGGAAGAGGAGUGGAAUGCAAUUUGCUCUUUGAAGCUUCUUCUUGUGAACCUUCUCCUCAAAGUAGAGAAGGGCUGCCAUGAUCAGAUGAUGAGGCCCAAAGAAGAAUCCUUCUGACAUCUUGUACAGGGCUUCCAGGAGAACUCCCUUUCUUUGGGUCCAAUGCUGCAGGGGAUAGAUAUUAUGCCUCAAAAAGGCAUCAAUCAAAAACAUAACUGGAGGUAGCUCCCCCCUCAGCAAAUGUGAUCGAUUUGUAGCUCCUCUGGUUAGGGUGCGAACCAUCUCUAACUCAGUAGGAUUUGCCCAAGCUUUAAAAUUGUCGAAUUGGGUUGGCUCAAAAGGAAUUUGCAGAGCUUCAGCAAUAUGUCUUGCUCCCAAAAUAUCAUGUCUCCCAUCAAUUGUGAAAUGAAUCAGAGUUGGAUUUCUUACCUAUUUGGUUGUCAUGGACUGGUAGAAAUCCGUGGCUAUCCGAGGAUAGAAAAAGUCCCUUGGAGCUAGCAAAUGCUCCAUAUGAUACCUCCUCAGCAGCUGGAAUGAUUGGGCUAGCUCUGGCCUUACUCUGAAUGCUGCUAAGUCGAAGCAAAGCUCAGAAUGGAAUGCUCGAGUUCGACAAUCCAAGUUUCCUUCGAUUGGGGGCUGAGGCAGCAUUGGCCUUCGGAUUACUUCUUCCAGAGGUGUUUCCGCUUGAAUUUGGGGCUCGGGAGUGGCACUUGAGGCUCCUGAGCUUUUUCUUGGGGUGCCGGAGAUGGUACCGACGAUGGAAUUGGCAGGGGACUCGGCAAGGGAACCGGAGAUGGCACUGGAGUUUGAAUCGGUGAAGGAUUUGGGGAUUGCUCAGGGGAUUGCUCAAUCAAAUCAAUGGGUUCUGAGCUCUCUACCCUAGGUUUCUUCUUAAAUGGCCGACCGCCUGACCUGGUUAAAUAUCGUCUUGCCGGCGGCUUUGGUGGCGCCGGCUUCACUGGAGGAGGAUUUGGUCUCGACGGCGAAGGCUUUGGAGCAGGUUCUGGAACAGAACCUGGACUUGGCUCCUUUCGCAGACUCCUUUUGCGGUUCGAAGGGGAUGAAGACUUUGCCCCUCGCGUUCGUGCCAUUUUGGGCUAUCGAUCUUUGGCCGGCGCUGCUGAACGGAGAAGACGACAGGAGGUUCGGACGGCGUGGCUUGGCGAAGAAGACGAAGAGGCUGCGAGAAUGGUGCUCUGAUUUUUGAAACCCUUUUCGCAGCACUUUUGACCGGUAUAAAUAGGAAAAAUGGAAGCCCAAGGAUCAGUUUAAGUUUCGCAACAAAACGCCAAUUUCGCAGCAACUUCGCAGUGAGUUUCGCAGCUGCGAAAUUGAUGUUACUGUGCUGCGAAGUGGCACUCGUGUGCCAAAUCCACUUUCGCAAUUGUGAAAUGCCCUGCGGAAUGGGACUUUUGGUGCGAAAUCAUGCUUUUCCACUUCGCAAUGGGUUUCGCAGCUGCCAAAUGGAUGUUACUGUACUGCGAAGUGGCACUCGUGUGCCAAAUUCACUUUCGCAGCUGCGAAAUACACUCGCAGAGACUUCUACAGUGUUGCGGAAUGGUUUGGCAACAAAAUGCUCAGUUCGUAGAAGUUUCCUUCACCCUGCGAAAUUUCGCAGAGCUCUGUUUUUCUCCUGUUUUUGCUCUGUUUCGGCUCCAAUUUCGGCCCGAUUUUUUUCUUUUCAAUCCCCUUGAAAUUUCUUUCACCUGGGAUCAUUUAAAACAAUUAAAACACACCUAAAAACAUGAUUUAAGAUCAAAAACUAAGAUCAAAAGUAUGGAAACAACUUGAAAAUUUACAAAAUUUACAAAAAUUUUGGACUGUGGUAAAACCACGUCCAGCAAACCCUUUUUCACUUGGUUUUUUGAGGUUCAAGGAGGUUGAUUGCCUCCUUUUCUGAUUUGAAUGACUCCAUGAACGGCUUAAGACGAUAUCCAUUGACUCUAAAGCUGUCCUUGCCAUUGGAAUUCAAUAAGUCCACCACUCCAUUGGAAUAUACUCGGUGAAUAACAAAUGGACCAAUCCACCUUGACUUGAGCUUCCCAGGAAAGAUAUGGAGUCUUGUGUCAUACAUCAAAACUUUUUGCCCUUCCUGAAAUUCCUUGUUGGAGAUGAGUUGAUCAUGCCACUUCUUCAUCCUCUGUUUUGCAACUUUGGAAUUGAUAUAAGCAUUAUUUCUUAAUUCCUCCAUCUCAUUAAGGUCUAGAAAUCUCUUUUCUCCUGCCUUGAUCAAGUCCAUGUUCAGCUUCUUUAUUGCCCACCAAGCUUUGUAUUCAACUUCCACAGGGAGAUGGCAUGCUUUACCAUAGACAAGACGAUAGGGAGACAUCCCAAGAAUAGUCUUAUAAGCUGUUCUAUAUGCCCACAAUGAAUCAUGAAGCCUAAUAGACCAAUCCUUUCUGUUGGAAUUCACCACUUUCAUCAAGAUGUUCUUUAUUUCCCUGUUAGCUAGCUCAACUUGCCCGGAAGUCUGAGGAUGAUAAGGUGUGGCCACCUUAUGCUUCACUCCAUACUUGGAUAACAGGGCUUCAAAAGGUUUGUUGCAAAAAUGAGCACCUCCAUCACUGAUUAUAGCUUUGGGCACCCCAAAUCUUGAGAAAAUGUUCUCUUUAAGAAACUUGAGAACCACCCUGUGAUCAUUUUUCUUACAGGGGAUUGCCUCAACCCAUUUAGAAACAUAAUCCACCCCCACCAAAAUGUAAGAAUUACCAAAAGACAUUGGGAAAGGUCCCAUGAAGUCAAUGCCCCAUACGUCAAAUAUCUCAACUAUCAGAAUGGGGUUCAUAGGCAUUUGAUUUCUUUUUGUUAACUUUCCAAGCCUUUGGCAUCUAUCACAAGUCCUACACAUGAUGUGGGCAUCUUUAAAAAGAGAUGGCCAGGUAAACCUUGAUUGGAAUACCUUCAUGGCUGUUUUCUGAGAGGCAAAGUGGCCUCCACAUGCAUUCUCAUGACAAUGAGAUAGAAUCCCUUGCUGCUCAUCUUCAGGGACACACUUCCUAAUAAUCUGAUCUGCACAAUACUUAAAGAGAAAGGGCUCUUCCCAGUAAUAAGCAUGAAUUUUUGCGAAGAAGUGCUUCCUGUCCUGUGCAUUCCACUCACUUGGAAUUUCACCAAUCACUAAAUAAUUAGCAAUAUGAGCAUACCAAGGAGUUUUCACUAGGAACAUGAGUGAUUCUUCAGGAAAAUCAUCAUUGAUAGGUAAGGGAUGGGAAUUAUGUGCUAUAACUAACCUUGACAAGUGGUCAGCUACUACAUUCUCCACUCCUUUCUUAUCUUUGAUUUGAAGAUCGAAUUCUUGUAACAAAAGAAUCCAUCUAAUCAACCUUGCUUUUGCAUCUUGCUUUGUCAAUAAAUACUUCAAGGCUGAAUGGUCAGUGAAGACAAUAAUGAAAGAUCCCACUAAAUAAGCUCGAAAUUUAUCCAAAGCAAACACCACAGCUAACAAUUCUUUCUCUGUAGUUGUGUAGUUCCUUUGAGCUUCAUUCAGUGUUUUACUUGCAUAGUAAAUCACAUAGGGCUUCCCAUCUUCUCUUUGGCCAAGCACAGCUCCUAUAGCAAAGUCACUGGCAUCACACAUCAGUUCAAAAGGCAAUUGCCAGUUAGGUGCUCUCACUAUUGGAGUUGUUGUUAAAAAUUUCUUCAGUUGAUCAAAGCUAUUUUGACACCUUUCAUCCCAUAUAAACUUAGCAUCCUUAGCUAACAGCUCAUAAAGAGGUUUUGAAAGACUUGAAAAACCUUUUAUAAACCUCCUAUAGAACCCUGCAUGGCCAAGGAACUGCCUUACUCCUUUCACAGUUGUUGGAGAUGGUAAUUUGGCAAUAAGCUCCACCUUUGCUUUAUCAACUUCAAUGCCUUUUUCAGAGAUGAUAUGGCCAAGGACAAUUCCUUGACGUACCAUAAAAUGACAUUUUUCCCAAUUCAGCACUAGAUUUUUUUCAAUGCAUCUAUGAAGAACUGCUUCCAAAUUAACCAAGCAUUCCUCAAAUGUACCUCCAUAUACGGUGAUGUCAUCCAUGAAAACCUCCAUAAUUCUCUCCACCAUAUCACUGAAAAUACUCAACAUGCAUCUUUGAAAUGUAGCAGGUGCAUUGCUUAAACCAAAAGGCAUUCUCCUGUAAGCAUAUGUUCCAAAUGGACAUGUAAAAGUGGUUUUUUCCUGAUCUGCCAAAUCAAUUUCAAUUUGAAAAUACCCCGAAUACCCAUCCAAGAAACAAUAUAAUGGAUGUCCAGAGACUCUCUCCAGCACUUGGUCAAUAAAUGGCAAUGGAAAAUGAUCCUUCCUAGUGACAGCAUUCAGCUUUCUAUAAUCAAUACACACCCUCCAACCUGAAGUGAGGCGUGUAGUAAUUUCUUCCCCUUUUUCAUUUUGAAUCACUGUGAUCCCUGACUUCUUUGGUACCACUUGAGUAGGACUCACCCAAGGGCUAUCAGAAAUAGGGUAAAUGAUUCCUGCUUGAAGUAGCUUCAGCACCUCAGCUCGCACCACCUCUUGUAGAUGAGGAUUCAACCUUCUUUGAAAUUGACGAAUUGGCUUUGCUUCCUCCUCCAUAUAUAUAUGAUGAGUACAAACUAAAGGACUAAUGCCUUUCAAAUCAGAUAUUUGCCAUCUUAUUGCCUUCUUACACCUCCUGAGAACUUCCAUUAAACAAUUCUCUUGUUGACUGGUCAGAGAUGAAGAUAUCACAACAGGACAUUGAUUAUUUUCUUCAAGAUAUGUAUAUUUCAACUCCACAGGUAAAGGCUUCAGAUUGAGUUUUGGAAUUUCUUUUUCAACAGCUGCCUCCUCUUCUUCAUUGAACAAAGGUAGAAUUUCUUCUAUCUUUCUCCAACUUUGUAGAGUAGCAAGCCCAAUAGGAGAUUCAGAAAAACCUUCCUCAAUAUCCACAAGACUUUCAUUCGACUUGUCUUGCAUAUGUUGAUUGCAGUGCUCCUCCACCAAAGUAUCAAUUAUACAUAGCUCUUCUGGACCUUCUUCUUCUUCCGGAGUGAUUUGCUUUUUAGACAUGUAGAAAAUAUUUAGAUCCAGUGUCAUAUUACCAAAAGUGAGUUGCAUAAGCCCAUUUCUACAGUUGAUGAUUUCAUUUGAAGUUGCAAGAAAUGGCCUUCCAAGGAUGAUAGGAACUAAAUUAGCUUCCUUUACAGUAGGAUCUGUAUCAAGAACAAUAAAAUCUACUGGAUAGUAGAAAUUAUCUACUUGAACCAAUACAUCCUCAAUUACCCCUCUUGGAAUUUUCACUGAUCUAUCUGCCAGAGAUAAAGUGAUUGCUGUUGGCUUCAACUCUCCAAGUCCCAGUUGCUUGUAGACAGAAUAUGGAAGCAAAUUCACACUUGCUCCCAAAUCUAGCAAGGCUUUCUCCACUACCUUUCCUCCAAUCAUGACUGAAAUGGUAGGACUUCCAGGGUCUUUGUACUUCAAAGGAGACUUACAUUGUAAGAUUGCACUUACUUGCUCAGUUAAGAAGGCUUUCUUGUUUACAGUCAACCCUCUUUUGAUGGUACACAAGUCCUUUAGGAAUUUUGCAUACGUUGGAACUUGUUUGAUCAUAUCCAGCAGUGGAAUAUUAACUUUCACUUGCCUCAAGACUUCAAGGAUUUCAGCUGCAUUUCUAACCCCCUUUUUCCCAUGUAAUGCUUGAGGAAAAGGUGGAGAAGUUGAUUUCUUCAGCAUUUCUUCCUUCAGAAACUCCUUCUCUGGAAUUACUUUCAUUGUUGCAUCAGAGUCCUUCUUUUCUUCACUGAUCUCACUCUCUUUAUCUUCCAUGUCCUUCCCUUUCUUUAUCUCUUCUUCUUUCUCAACAUGUGGCAUGGGUGUUGGCUGCUCAAUUUUUUUACCACUCCUUAGAGUGAUCAAAGCCUUCACAUCUUUCACCUGUGAUGAUUCUCCCUCAUGGCUUUCCACUUCAUGGACACCUUUGGGAUUUUGGUUAGGUUGAGAAGGAAAUCUUCCUUUUUCUUGCAGUGUAUUCAAAUUUGUAAGCCUAGAGAUUGAAUACUGGAUGUUAUCAAAUUUUUGAUUCAUAUCAUUUUGCAUUCCAUCCAUCCUUUGAUCAAGUCGAGCAUUGGUGGCUUCUUGCAUUCCAAUAAAAUCUCCCACUACCUUGCUGAGAUUAGCUACUAUUUGUUCAAUACUUGAAGAUUGCUGAGAUGGUGGAUCCGGCUGUUGGUAUUGAGUUGCUCUGGCCUUCCAUGAGAAAUUUGGAUGAUUCCUCCAACUUGAAUUGUAGGUAUUUCCAUAUGGUGCAUUGUUAUUGGGCCUGAAUUGUCCAACAACAUUUGCUUGAUCUCUAUACAUUUCCCUUUCAGCUGAAAUUGCAGGGCAUUCCUCCACCAAAUGUUCAAAUGAUUGACAAUUGGGACACAGCUUCACUUGCACUGGUGCUUCAGCAACAGCUUGCACUUCAUGUAUUCUUUUCAGCUCCAGCUCCUCCAAUCUUCUUGUCAUAGCUGCCAACUUUGCUUUCAUGUCAUCAUCUUCCCUCAAAGUGUACAUCCCAGCCUUUGCAUUGUAAGCAUUCAACUGAGACUUCAUCUUUCCCACUUCUCCUUUGGUUGGUUCAUCCCAUCCCCUUGAAACAUCAGCUACAUAGCUCAAAAAAUCCAUAGCUUUCUCUGGAUUUUUGCUCAUGAAAUCUCCUCCACACAUUGUCUCGAGGAGUUGCUUCAUUGAGGAGGACAUACCAUCAUAAAAAUAGCUCACCAAUAGCCAAGUAUCAAAGCCAUGGUGAGGACAAGCAUUUAUAGCUUCCAUGUAUCUUUCCCAACACUCAUAGAAUUUCUCAUUCUCUUUAGCUGAGAAGUUUGAAAUUUGCCUUUUCAAGCCAUUUGUUCUAUGAGUAGGAAAAAAUUUCUUAAGGAACUCAACUUGUAGAUCAGUCCAAGAGCGGAUACUCCUUGGCCUUAAAGAAUUAAGCCAAAUUUUGGCCUUAUCCUUUAAAGUAAAAGGAAAUAACUUAAGCCUCAUCAAGUCAAUUGAAGCUCCUCCCUCUUGGAAUGUAUUACAAACAUCUUCAAAUUCCUUGAUGUGUGCAUACGGAUUCUCACUUUCCAUCCCAUGGAAAGUUGGUAGAAGUGGAACAAGAUAUGGUCUGAUCACUAGCUGCUCUGUAGGGGGCACUAUACAUGAUGGUGCACUCAUACGAGGUGGAUACAUACGAUCCCUCAUUGAUCGGAAUUCAUUGAGAUUAUCUUGACGACCUUGGUGACUAUGCUGAUCUUUAGGUGUAGCCUCCAUGAUAUUCAAGAUUACUUCCAAUUCUCCUCUCUGAGGUGUAUCACACUUAACAAGCCUACCUCCAAUGUCUCGUAUCCACUUUGGCAUACACAACUAGUAUUCAGCUGCAACUUAAAUAAAAACAGAGGACACAAAGAAAAAAAGGGCUACAACAACAAAAUUAAACUAGACUAAAUUUAAAAAGAUAAACUUAGAUUAUGAAUAAACAAAGAAAGAAUGAAAAUUAGUAAAGUGAAAGAAACUUUACCAACUUGUGAUGAAAAUCACAAGUGCUCAAAAAAAUGGUAUCACAAUGAACUUGACACUCAUUCCCCGGCAACAGCGCCAUUUGAUUCAUGCCCAAUUGGUGUCUCAGCUGAUUUGUGUUCAGCUGGUGCUCCUUGAUUGAGGAAGUGAUCAACAAAAUUUAUACCUAUAACACCAUACACUAGGGUAGCAAAUAAAAAGCUACUAUAGUAUAGUGGCUCUAGGAUCGUUCACUGGGAAUGAUUAACAAGCAAUCAAGGAUACCAAUUCCAAGUGAAUUGGUCUUGUUUCAUUUCACGGUUAGCUUAAGAAAUAAAACACAAACUUUGAUUGGUAAAGGUUGAGACUUAAACUAACUAAUCUUAACAGAAGUUUGAAAUAAUUUAGGAAGAAAAGCAUUCCUUAGAGAUUUAGGUUCACUGGGGUGGUUCCUCAUGCAAAAGACAUAGCUUCGGUCAGAUGGUUCAUUUCCUCGCAUUAGAGAUUCAACUUAGAGUCAAUUCUCCAACCGGUGAUGUACAGAGACUCCUUCAAUUAGAUUUCACUUUAAUUCUCUCACUGAUGCAACUUGCAAUGGUUUUAGCCUCUCACCAAGCCUUAGCCAUUCAAGGUGAUCUUUAACCUUGGAUUACCCGUCAAAAGCUCGCAAGAGAUAACUAAUGGAUGUCUCCUAGGAGUCCAAAAGCUUAUCAAGUGUUGGCUAUUCUAGAAAAUCCUACCCUGAAGUCACCUCCCAGAGGCUCGCAAGGGGUAAACUAGUGCAUUUCCAUGGUUGGAAAUCACUUGCCUUACCAAGUGUUGGCCCAGGUGACUCCAAGGUGUUUUAAGUUAACUAAAAACAUUGAAAUCACUAAAGGAUUUCACUUCCUCUUCAUUACUAGCUAAAACCACAGAGCUUUGCAUUCUUGCACUUGGAACCUUCCCCGGCAACCUUAGCUCCAAGGAAUUGGAGGUUUAGUUACUCAUUCUCUGGGGAAAACUCCUCAGAGAAUUCAUAACUUAUAAAUAAAAUGAAAAUACAAAGUGAGAAGGUAAGGCAGUAGAAAGAAAAGACCUUUACUUGCUUACCCAAACGUUUACAGAAAGAACUCCUCUCUGAGAACAGGCUCCCGAGAGGCAUAUAUAUCAAACCAAUAUAAAACUAAUUGUUACAAAGAUAUUUGGUCUUUUUACUAACUUAAAAACUAAGGAAUCAUGUAAUUGGUGGUUUACAAGGAGUAUUUUGGGAUUUAGACAACAAAAAUCUAAUGGAAAAUAUCUCCCAAUGUCGGUAGCAAACUUCGGGAGGCUUUAGGAACCAUUUCGCAGGAGUAAAAUGGUGUCUGCGAAAUUUCGCAGACACCCAAGAGGGCUGCGAAAUUAUUUUGCAAGACCGAGCUAUCUUCACAGGGCUGCGAAGUUGGCUUCCACCUUGAGGUUUCCAGCUCCCUUCUCGCGGCAUGGUUCGUGCAUCGUCAGAAGGAGAAACACCUUACUGUACAAAAGUGCUGCGAAAUUCUCGCAACAAAAGGCUGAUUCCGCAACACUUUAGAGUGAUUGACUUGUAAUGGCUGCAACUUCUUCGUUUCAACUCCGAAUCGCGCACCGUUUGAAGCAUUGGAUUUUUGACUUCCUGAGCUUUGAAAUGGUAUAUAGCAUGCAUCAUUUGGACUUCAGAAAGUGCUCCAAAAGUGGCUGCUACGACUGUCAUCAAGAAUAGGCUUCAUGGCAGAUUCUCUUUGCUUUUUCUCCUUGCAAUCCGAAUUCACUCUGGGAAAAUGAGUUCUAAGCUUUGCCCAAGAUUCCUCAUAGCUCUCCUCAUUCUUGACUUGCUUUGGUGAUCAAAAUACUAACAAAAACACCAAAACUUACACAAAGUGAUCAAAAUUGCUUUAAAGGAUCCUUAACAUGCCAAUUGAGUUAAAAGGCCUAAACUACUACUCAAAAGUGUUUAAAAGGAUUAAUUAUAGGCUAUCAAAUAGCACUUUUUGAGUAGUAAUCAACAACCCAUGUUCUCCUUUUACUAUUUUCUUUGCUUGCCAAAGUGAAUUCUUAUUUUUGGCAAAUAGAAUGAGCUGUUGGGGCUUACCAUAAUGUUAAGUCUAUCAUUCGAACAAUGGAAUCAAUUUCUUAUUGUUUAGGUGGUUUGAGUUUACCACAAUGUCCAAUUAAUUACUUAAGUAAAGGGAUCCAAACUUCUCUUUUUACCAGCCACAAGAUUUAUACGUGAGGUUAUCUUAAAGUUAAAUUAGAUGGUGAUUCAAGCGAUUAUAAGGUGUAGCCUUCAAGUGAUAGUUGGCCAUGUGCUAACUCUGUCCUUUUUUCAGCGCUUUUCUUUGUCUUUUUGACUUAUUUGUUUUCUUCAAUACUUUCCACUCGAUUAUCGAUGGCGUUGAGACAUUAUUGAAAAAGUUGGAGGAGCUUUUCUCUCCGCCUCUCUCCAAGUUCUUUUCGACAGGUUGGCUUCUUCGGAGGUCCUCUACUUCAUCAGGGGACAGAAGCUCAGUGAUUCAGUCCUCAGCAAGUUUAAGAUCAAAUUGCUGAUUGUGGAUGAAGUGCUCGACCAUGCUGAGGUGAAACAAUUUAGAUGGGAGUCAAAUAGUGGCUGGUGCACGCAAAGGAUGCUGUCUAUGAUGCGGGAGACCUGCUGGACGAGAUUGCUACCGAAGCUUUGCG
rnacentral:lncRNA from 1 species